rnacentral:lncRNA from 1 species
GGCCAUCGCUUGUAGGAUUGAGGAUUCCAAAGUACUGAGCUGCCACAGCCCCUGUGAAGUUCACAGAAGGAGAGAUCGUGAAGGCCAUGCCAUGGCCACCAAGUGUAGGCAGCUCCGGGACCAUGGCAAACGCAAACUGGGUAGAGAACGAGAGACCGAGAAUUGUUGAUUAAAGAUGUGUUGAACUGAAAAGGGAUGGGAAGAAAGCACGGCCAAUUUGCCGUUUUGAAGUGUUUGUCAGCUCUAAGAGACCAUUUGGAUGGAUGUUUGCAAUCUCGCUGAGGAGCAGGUUGGCUCCAGUGAAGCCAUGAUAGAUGAAGUGGUUUUCCUCUUGAGCUAAGGCCAAGAGCUUCAAGGAAAGAAACAGGCCGAGUAGAAAGUGCAAUGAUUUGAACGAUGCAUUCAUCAUAAGAACGUGAAGAUUGUUUUUGCUUCUUCAGUUACACAUUGGUAAAAGAACAAAGUUUUUUCGCUUCGAGUUUCUCCUUAUUUGUUGUUACAGUUUCAAAUCCUCAGUCUAAAGACUGAAUUAUUAACAUGUCUCUUCACAUUGCUAUGACUUGGGGCGCAUUCGAACCUUCUCCAAAGCUUUUUCUUGGAAAAAAAAGAGAAGGGAAAACUACUUUUCAAAGUGGAUACAAGGUCAAAGAAAAUAAAAUUCGUUUGAAAAUCUUCUAUGGCGAGAAAUAAAUUCCGUUACUAAUUGGACAUCCAAAUUAAUUAUCAUUUUACUGAAUAUUGCAGAUUGAAAAUCUUCGUUGCUCGGACAUGCGGUGCGCAAGUGUCCGGAUUCAGACUUGGUUUUCCAGAAUUCUCUAGUUUGUUCACAGAUUGAAGUGUUGAAGGAACUAUACUUAAUUUAGGGUAAAAAGAAGAUUGAAGUGACAAAGAGCACUGGGUGGCAUUUCUUUAAUUUAUCUAAACCAAAAUAAAAGGAUGUUCAAGCCUGAUUCUUAUGAGCAAAUGGAAAUGGGGUCAUAGAUUGCAAACUAGAUGGGUGGCUUGAGCUUGCUGAUUUUUUUUUUGGAAUUAAUAAGCUAAGUUAUUUUAAAUAAUACAAAUAAAAAAUAUAGCUAAAUUAAAAAAUAAAUUGACAAAAAAAAAAAGAUUGUUCAAGCAUCAAUGUUUUUAAAAAAGCAAAACAAACAUGUAUUUAAUAAGUUUGAUUAAUUUAAUAAUAUGAUUAAAAAAAAUACAUCGAUUGUAAAUAAAACAAAUUUUUUUAGCAAUAGUCACCUAUAAAAAAAUAGCUGUCAAUAUAAUACUUAAGAGCAAAUGAAUGAAAAGCUCGUUGGAAAUUCAUCAUCACUUCACUGUGGACACCGCCUUACCACUAGAAAGAAAACCAAACAAAAUUUCAUGAAGUGAGUAUCUAAUGCUUAUAUUCAAUCAAAUAAUUUAAUUUAAUAAAAAUGCUAAAUUUAACAAAAGCGUCAAUAAAAAAAAUAACGGAACUCAAUCUUUGAUUAAAUAAAUAUCGAAUGAUGAAACUAAAGAAACGUGAGCUUAAAAAAAAGAGGAUAAAAUGACGAUAAAAUUUGAUAGGAAAAAAAAAUUAAAGGAUGAUGAAAUCGUAAAAAAAAAAAUUCAAUUCUAAAAACCAUCUAAAAUAAAUAAAUAUCAAUCAAAAGAAUAAUGACCAAAUUUAAUAGAUGAAAAAAUUAAGGGAGGAUGAAGUUGAAAAAAAAUUUAAUUUUAUAAAUUAUUUUAAAUAAAAUAAAUAAUAAUAAAAAAAGACCAAACUCAAAGAAAAAAUAAAUUAAAAAGCUGAAUUUAAAAUUUAAAGGAUUAAAUAUAAAAAUCAAAAAGAAAAAAAAAACCAUUAUCACCAAACCUUAGAUUCAAUGGUCAUAAGUGUAGCCCAUACAUGAAGGGCUAUUAAGAUGUUCCAGUCUUAUCUUGAAAGCCACUAUUUGCCUCCUAACAUCAUCUUACUAGCCACACAAAUAACACAAGAAAAGCUCAUGUGCCAGUUUUUUUUUUCAAUAUUUAUAUUUAUUAAAUAAUUAAAUUGCUUUUAAAUCAACUUUAUUAUAACCACAAAAAUAAUAGUUUGAAAAGAUGGAAAAUCCAGUAUGCAAGUUAAUUAUUUUUUACAUCAGUUUUUUACUACAGUCAAUAAAGUGUAAGAACAGAUAAGCCCUUGAAAAUCAGUUUAAUAACUCCUUUUCUUUUAAAGGCUUUUUUGUCAUUUUAAAGCGAAAAAAAUAACAUGUGAAGAUCUUUUUGCUCUUGAUGAAUCUGAUAAGAUAAAUGGAUCCCAGACUAAAUAGAUCUCAAUAUUUCAGUACAAGGGCAAAUCUGUAAAUCCACCAUUCCAAUGAAUAACCUUGCUCAAGUAUGCGUAAUAUUUAUUUAUUUAUUUUUAAUUUAAUUUAAUUUAAAAGGUGAGCAUAACAUGAAAAUCCCAUUUCAACGACGUUAUUUCUAGGUAGCCAUCUUUGACUUUAUACAAAAGAACGAUCCCAUCUUAGAAAAAGCACUGCUCCUUGUUAAAUAUUGAUAGCUAAUUGAAAAUGACAAUUCUCUCUUUAAUGCAGAUGUGUUAUUUAUUUUUGUAUUUUAAAAAUAUUUUUGAAAAAAAAUAAAUUUUUUAUGUUUUUAUUUUAAAUUAAUAUUUUUUAAUGUUUUUAGAUUAUUUUGAUGUGUUGAUAUUAAAAAUAAUUUUUUAAAAAUAAAAAAUAUUAUUUAAAAAUAUUUUUAAAUAAAAAACACUUCAAAAAACAAUUAUAGCAAAACUCCAAACACUUAGUCAAUUUAUCAACAACUCUAAUCUUUGAAGGAUGGUUGAAGUGUGCUCACUGAUUGAGUCUCAAUGCUUAACUCUAAAUUUUUAGUCUACUUUGGGUUUUGAUCAAGAAAAAAGGAGAGGGUAAAGAUGAUAAUAAACAAGUAAAUGUAGUUUUAGUAGUGCGUUUCCAUUUAAAAAAAGUUUUUGAUUUUUUAAUUUAAAAUUAAUAAUUUUUUAGUAUUUUGGAUUAUUAUUAUGUGUUGAUAUCAAAAAUAAUUUUUUAAAAAUAAAAAAUAAUAUUUUUAUAUAUUUUUAAAUAAAAAAUAUUUUAAAAAAUAAUUAUUAAAAACUUGGGGUGGAGUAAGUAACACCUAAUGCGUUGGCGUGGCUCUCGUCCCGUCUCCUAAUGGUAAGAUGCAUAUAUAGCACACAAAUUAUUCUUACCAUACGCUUAUCCUUAAAUCCGCUCCACUCAUGCCUCUAGCCAUUUAGCUCUCGUCCUUUUUUUUUUCUUUUCUUUUUUGAUUAAAUGGAUUUGAGUUCUAUAAUUUCAUCAAUUUUAAGAAACAUUGACAAGAUUUAUGGGGAUCAUUUGAAUUAACCAACCAUUUAAAAAAAAUAUUUCCUAAAUUAAUUAAUUAUUUUAACAUAAAAAAUAAUAUAUUUAAAAUAAAUUAUAGAUAAAUAAGAAAUUAAUCCUAAUAAAUUUAAAUAACAUUAAUUUCAAAUUGAAAAAUUAUAUGAUUUUAUAAUCUAUAUAGUAAGAAGUUCAAGGUUUAAAUUGACUUAUAAAACACAAAAGCAAUGUAGAUUUUGAGCUUAAAUUAAGCGCUCGACUAAGGCUUGAGUUAAUUAUUAUUUUUAAUUGAGUGUUUCAAAAUUAUUUUUAGGCCUUGAUUUAUAGUGUAAUAUUUUAAGAUAAUGUUGUUUGAAUCUUGAAUAUUGAGAGUGUUUACAAUAAAGACAAGAAUUUUAACAUUUAUAAUAAAUGAUUGAAUCAUUAAUUUAUAGCAGCAUAACCUGCUUUCUUUAUUCUUUAGGAAGUAGGUAAAUCUAUUUUGUUUAUAUAAAUUAUUAUUUAUUUGAUGCGAAAGACAUUAAUCAAAAAUUAACUUCAUCAACCAUAAAUCAACCAUCAUUGAUUGACUUUAAUCAAUCAAGAUCGACAAUAAUCAACCAGGAUGGAUUGACAAUGCAUGCCAAGUUUAAAUAGAAUUUGUUAUGUGUUUCUAAAUUUAUUAAUUCUACUAGUUAAGAAAUAUAUGUACAUUAAUAAUCGAACUAUACAAUUUUGACACAGUUUGAAUACUCCUAGUAUAAUUUUGACACAGUUUGAAUACUGCUAAAAGCCCUCCUUACCUUUAGGCUUACAGUCUGCAGGGAGCAGGGAGGGUGACUGUUCUAUGGUAACAGCUCACAAGAUACAAGUGGUUGGAAAAAAAUUGCAGAAAUGCUACAAUCUUCAAAAUUCUACGGCAUCUUCCUUUAUAUUUCACAUCGAACAAGUCUUAAUAUACAUAUUUACGUAAUCAAUCCUCCAUAAAGCAUUGUUGGUUCAACGACCACUGAGGAUUGAUUCAGAGUCGGACAAGGAAUUGGAAGAAAUUCCACCUGAUGAUAUCGGGAUUGUUAGAACUUGCUUGGAAUCAUGGGAUACUUUCUUGAUUACGACUUGCAUAUUGGAAGAUUGUUCUUGUUGUUGGGACAAUUGUGUAGGCACCACACCUCAUCUUACGCCUCUUUUACGGACAUGACAAACGCAGGUGAGCCACAAAUGCCUUUCCCUUAAUAGAAGAAGGUAGUAGGAGUGCAAAACCUUAUCUUACUGCCAUCUAGAAGCUUCGAUGUCGAAGGAAGAGGACCUGAAACAAAAAUAAAGGUAAAACCUUGGAUCAUGAAGGGAAAAGCCCACGACUCAAAAUCUCUGCUUUUGUUUGAAACUGAAAGGCUUUCUGCCUUUUUUUUUUUUUUUUUUAAUUCUCUUUGGCUUUUCAACUUGUGGUUCGAUUUGGGGUUUCGAUUCUUGAGAAUGCGUCGUGAAAGAGAUAAUAAAAUGGAUCUUAUGGCCAACAGAUAAACAAGGGGUCUUGAAGGGGAUGAUGGAAGAAUGGGCAAUGAUUUGGUCCCAAAACGAAAUUUGCAUUUUGAAUGGAGAAUCAGAGCCCCGAUGAUGAUUGUUCUUGAUGAUGUGCGCAUAGUAGUAUUUUUGUUAAUUUGAUGUAUCCGAUUUUUAGUUAAAUAAAAUAUAAUGACAAACUUAUAAUACUUUAAUUUUUGUAUUAAUUUGAAGUAUUAUAAACUUAAAAAAUUUAGGGUAACUUUUUAAUUUUUUUUACAUAAUCCAAUAGAGUAACUCGGGUAAAAUUAAGGAAAUCCAAACCCUUUUUCAAUUUUAACCCAUUAAUUUUUACUUAAGCUAGAACACUUAAGAAUUAGUAAUUACUAGAUAGGUGGUCCGCGUUAUGCCGUGAACUCACCUAUUAUUUUAAUAAAAAAAUAUCAUAAAAAUCUAAGACCUAAAACAUUAGGUGUGGCUGCAGCAUCGGAUCCAAGAGUGUUGAGUUUGGCUGCAAUGCAAAACACAACAAUAAUAUUUAUAAUAUUAAUAAUAAUAUUUAACUUGUUUGCCAAAUUUUUUAUAUUUUUUAAUCUUUCAAAAACAAUUAUGGUUUUACUUCAAUAAUAAUAAUAGUUUUUUUAAAAUUUAAUAAUAAUAAUAAUAGUAAUAAUAAUUGUUAUUAUUAUUAUUAUUAUUAUUAUUAUUAUUAUUUUUAAUUUUACACUUUAAAUUUAAUCUAUGGUUGUUUUUCAAUAUUGAUAAUAAUGUUUUUCAAAUUUAUUAAUUAUUUUAAUAAUAAUAAUAAUAUUUAUAAAUACAAAAAAAUUAUAUUUAGAAACCUAAGACUCAAGAACCUUAGGUUUUCAUGUAGGACCCAAGAGCUUUGAGUCUUGACACAACCCAAUGAAAUUGGGUCGUGAUUCAGAACCCAAAAAUAUUGGGUCCUAGCAUAGGAUCCAUUAGCCUUGAAUCUUGACGCAGAACCCAAUAGAUUGAGUCUUGAUGAGAGACCAAUAAUAUUGGGUCAGGCGGGGCUCCAGAUCCAAGGGAUUUGGGUCUGCUCCAUAGCCACACCCAAGGGCUCACGAGAGACCAAUAAUAUUGAGUCAGGUGGGGCUCUAGACCCAAGGGAUUUAGGUAUGCUCCAUAGCCACACCCAAGCUCCCUUGGGUGUGGCCCCCUUUUCCUGCUCCAAAUUUGUUGGGUCUGGAAAAGAUUGCAUGAGCCAAGAGAAAAUAAAAAUAAAAUAAAAAAUAAAUUAUUGAUGGGUUCUGCUAUGAAUAGGACUCACGCUGAUGGGUCGUGCUCGCAACAGGAGUUGAGGUUGAUGGGUUAGCGACGGUCGGACCCAAAGCUAUUUUUAGUCUUUUUUAGAGUAGGACUUAAUGUAUUUUUUUUUUGGUGUGGUUGCCACAACAAGAUCCAAUCUCAAUAUAUUUAAAAAUAAAAUUAAACAAAAUACAAAAACAUAAAAAAUAUUAAUUUGACAUAAAGAAAACAAUAAAACAAUUUCAUUUUUUUUCAAAGCAUUUUUUUAAAUGCAAAACUAAACAUGCUUUAAUAAGAAAAUUCAACCCAACUUGAAAUGAAAAAAAAAAUUAUCAUCACCCAACUUUUGUAUAAUAUAAAAAAAGUCACAUUAAAUUAUUUCCUCUUUAGUAUGAAAAAAAAUCAAUAAGAGAAAAGAAAAAAAAUUUCAAGAGUGAAAAAAAUAAAAUUGGAAAUAUCUUAAAAUAUAUUUUUUAUUUUUUUAAAAAAUAUAUUGUGAUAAUAUUUUUUUUUAUUUUUUUAAAUCUAUUUUAUAUAUAAUCACAUCAAAAUAAUACAAAACAUCUUAAUAUGAAUUAAAAGAAAAAAAAAUAUUAAUUUGAAGUAAUGAAAAAAAUAAAAAAUUAUCAAUUUUUUUUCAAAGCAUUUUUAAAAACCAAAACCAAACAUGCUUUAAUAAAGAAAAUUCAACCCCACCUGAAAUGAAAAUAAAUUACCAUCACCCAAAUUUUGCAUAAUAUAAAAAAAGUCACAUUAAUUUAUUUCCUUUUAUAUUUUUCAAUCUUUUAAAAAAAGUUUAUGUUUGUCUUUGAUGAUAGUAAUAAUUGUUUUCUAAAAUCUAGUAAUGACAAUAAUAACAAUAACAAUAGUAGUAAUAAUUCUUAAUUUUACCAUUCAAAUCAAAUCUAUUAUUUUUUUUUCAAUAUUAAUAAUAUUUUCUACAAAUUUAUUAAUUAUUAUAUGAAUAAUAUUAAUUAUAAUAAAAAUUAUAAUAUUUAUAAUAAAAAUCAUAGUAUUUUUAAUAUUAAUUAUAAAAAUAUCAUAAUAUUUAUAUCAUAAAUAAUAAUAUUUUUAAUACUAAUGCCAAAUUUUUUAUUGUAAUAAAUUUUAAUGUUUUUUUAUUAACGAUAACAACAACAAUAACAACAAUAACAAUAAUUGAUAUAUAUAUAUAUAUAUAUAUAUUUUCAUUUUUAUUCUUUUUCCGCGCUACGCCGCGGACUUACCUUUUAUUUUAAUAAAAAGAUAUUUUAGAAAUCUAAGACCAAAAAGUGUUUGAUUUGGCUGCAAUAUCGGACCAAAGAGCGUUGCGUUUUGCUGCAACGCCAAACCCAACAAUAAUAUUUAUAAUAUUAAUAAUAAUAUUUAAUUUGUCUGCAAAAAUUUCUAUUUUUUUUAAUGUUGAAAAAUAAAAUAUAGUUUUGCUUCAAUAGUAAUAAUAGUUUUAAAAACUUUAUUAAUGGUAAUGAUGAUGAUGAUAAUUAAUCUUACACUUCAAAUCAAAUCUAUAGUUGCUUUUUAAUAUUAAUAAUAUUUUUUUUCAAAUUUAUUAGUUUUUUUAUUAAUAAUAUUAAUUAUAAUAUAAAUAAUAAUAUUUAUAAUAUAAAUAAUUAUAUUUAGAAAUCUAAGAUACAAGAAUCUUGGGUCAUGAUGCAGGACCCAUUAGCCUUGGUCCUGACAUUGGACCUAUGAGUCUUGGGUCCUAACACAACCCAAGGGAACUGGGUCCUGACGCACAACCAAACAACAUUGGGUUCUGAUGGAAGACCUAUUAGCCUCGGUUCUUGACGCUUGACCCACUAGCCUUGGGUCUUGAUACACGACCCAAGAACAUUGGGUUGUGACAAAGGACCAAUAAUCUUGGGUCAGGCCACUCUUUAAGACCCAAGGGAUUUGUGUCUGUGCCUAGCCACAUCUAAGCUCCUUGGGUGAUGCGCCGUUUCCUACCCCAAGUUUUUAGGUCUGGAAGAGAAUGCCUGACCCAAGAGGAAAGGAAAAAAAAUGAAAAUAAUUAUUGAUGGGUCUUGCUAAGAACGGGACCCAACGCUAAUGAAUCCUGUCAGGGAUAAGACCCAAGGCUGAUGGGUCCAGCCACCAGCUAUUUUGGGUCCUUCUUGGGGCAGGACUCAACUUAAUAUAUUUUCUUGGGUGUGGCUGCGCAACUAGACUCAAUCUCAAUAUAUUUAAAAACAAAAUUAAAUUUUUUUUAUCAUCAUCCAACUUUUAUAUAAUAUAGAAAAAGUCACAUUAAUUUAUUUUCUCUUUAUAGUAUGAAAAAAAAUCAAUAAGAGAAAAAAUAAUUCAAGAGGAAAAAAAAUAAAAUUGGGAAUAUCUUAAAAUAUAUAUUUUUAAAAAUAUUGAGAUAAUAUAUAUUUUUUUAUUUUUUUAAAUCUAUUUUUAUAAUCACAUCAAAAUAAUACAAAAACAUCUUAAUAUGAAUUAAAGGAAAAAAAAAAUAAUUUGAAGUAAAGAAAAAAAUAAAAAAUUGUCAAUUUUUUUCCAAAAUAUUUUUGAAAACCAAAACGAAACAUGUUUUAAUAAGAAAAUUAAACCCUACCUGAAAUGAUAACAAUAAAUAAUAUAUAUUUUUUAAUUUAGUAAUUAUAACAAUAAAUAAUAAUAAUAUUAAACUUGUUUAGUCCAAGUUUUAAUAUCCAUUAUUUUUUAUAAAAUUUAAUAAUAAUAAUAAUAAAUGUUAUUAGUUAUUAUCUUUGUUUUUAUUUUUUGUUAAAUUUGUUAUUUUUCUCUGUAUGAUCUGCAACUUCUAGAGUUUGCAGACCCUAGACACAACAGAAGAAACCCAAACGGGCGGGUCUGCACCUGCUCCCGAUUAUGCACACCCCAGACGCGGAAGUUGAUAGAAGUACCAAUACCGUGUAAUUUUUGUGGCACACAACUUUUAGAUAGAAAGAGAAAGAGGAAGUUGAAAGAAGUAUCUAUAAAUUUAAUCUUUAAAAGAUAAAUUAUCAAUAAAUCUUCUUGUGCUAAUUCUUAAGAUCAGUAAAUUUAUUUUUAUAGCUUAUCAUCCAAGAAAGUUCAAAUUUAAUUGUGCUUCAUAUAUUUAAAAAGCUACCUUUAAUUGUUUUUUCUUUCAAAAAAUAUUUCAUAAUAUUUUUUUUGAAUGUAUGUUUUUCUCAUUUAUAAAAAAAUUUAUAAUUAUAAUCUAUUCUUUUUUUAUACUACCAUUAUUAUAAAUUAUUCAAAUGAAAUUAUGAUUGUAAAAAUAAAAAAAAUAUAAAUUUUCAGAUAUGUAAUUUAAUUUUUAUAAAUAAAAAACUUAAAUAUCUUUAAGCAUAAUGACACGCUUCAAAAAAUUUCAAAGAAUUAUGACAAUUGACAAGAAUAAAAUUUUAUGAUAAUACAUAUUUAAUUUUAAAAAUUUGGAGAAAAAUAUAAAAAAAAUACAUAAUAUCAUUUACAAGAAUAAAAAAUAGAAAAACAAGAUAAUCAAAACCAUAAAUACAAUUAAUAAAGAUGGGUAAUGGGCCUGCAUGACAAGGCGGAGCUUUGCCAAGAAGGUAUUUGAAAAUAAUAAAGGUUGCAUUAUAAAAUAUUUUUUAAUUAAAAAUAUAUUAAAAUAAUGUAUUUUUUAUUUUUUUAAAAAUAAUUUAUAAUAAUAGAAUAUCAAAAUAAUCCAAAACAUAAAAAAAAUUAUUUUAAAUAAAAAAUCUAAAAAAAUAUACAUUUCCAAAUGCUAUCUAAAUAUUCAACAUUCACGACCAAAGAGCAGGGCAUAUAUAGCUGAUUUCAAUUUUAUCAUGGUCAAGUUCUUAUUUUCCUCAUCAAGCACACACCAUUGAGAUGGCAUGUAUUGGACUCCAUAUGCUGCUAUUAGCAUCUCUUCAUCACCUUUUCCUGAUAAAUCCAUGAAAAUUUUGAUUGUUCAUCGUUCCGAAAGAGUCCCCAAUGUCUCUCGAAAUGUCCUGGUGCAAUGCUCUUCUGAUUCUUCGAUUAGGCCAAAGAGAUACACAUCCAAUUAACCUCGUCGGACAGGGGUUCCCUUCUUUAAGGAGACCGUCAUGGAGCGUUUUAGCUAAUUUGGUGUCGGCAUUGAUGUUACCAUCUGUAGGCCAGCCAACUUGUCCCAUUAUGAUCUUCAAAUCGCCAGCACUGUUACCAUCUGUAGGCCAAAGAGCUUUAAUUUGACGAAGAAACUUCACAGCGUGAAUCAUGACAUCCUUUAUGCUGUUACGGAUAUUGCCAUUAAGGGCUGCUGUAGCUUUGAAUUUGUCUCCGACUCCAUCAUUGUCCAAAGCCUUAUGAACGUCUAGAAAUGGUGGAAACGUAAACGUAACAUUGUCGCAAGUGCUCUUAAAACUUGACAAGAAAGGCUCGUUCCCAACAGUCGAAGAGGGGUUAUUGGAAGAUGAUUUGUAAACUUCAGCACUGAGGGCUACUGUAGCUUUGCAUUUGUCUCCGACUUCAACCUUGUCCAAAGCCUUUUGAACGUUUUGCCAAAACUAGCAAUCAGCUGGCGUUUCUUUUAUUAAAAUUCUUUAGUAGUUUUAAAUAGUUUGUUUAAGCAUUUGAUACUAGCAAAAGGGAAAAGAUGGAAUGGGUGGCUUAUCCACGUUGCUGGAACCUCACAAGAUACUACCAAGAAUCUUGGAACUGUUUAAAAGAUUGUGGUUCAAGCUAUUCAUGAGCUCUAUUCAUGAGCUUUGCCUAUCAUCCUCAAUCAGAUGAGCAAUCUGAAAGAGUUAAUCAAUGAACAGAGAAAUACCUAAGAUGUAUGAACACAUCAGUACCAGUAAUUCUCACUUUGAUGGCUAUCCUGCAUCUGUAUCAAGUUCCUUUUGUUUUUGUUUUUUUUUUUUUGUCCGUAUUUUUCGGGGAGGCUAAUGUCUGUUAAAUCUUUUCAAGUAUGAGCUUGUUUUUCCUAAGAUGGAAUCAAGUCACUUCAUGUUUAACUUGCUCUGUGUAAGUUCUUUGAGGGACCCAAAUUAGAAUUAAAGUUGAUCAUUACAACUAAUCUCCAGUGCUUGAUAAAUUAGAGUCUGUUUAAUCACUUAGGGUAGUUGGAUACAGGAAAGGCUGCACAGCAAGUGAACGUACCCUGUCCCAAGAGGUUGCGCUGCCUCAUCUGCAACAAGCUGUGACCCAAUAACCAGGAGAAAUGAUGGAAGCUUUUUGAUCAGACAUCUCUAGCCAUUUCAUUAGGUAAUUGGGUAUCUACACUCUUUCUGAAAGCAGGGUUAUUAAUAUUGCUGCCUUCUUAUUGCAAAUUUUGUUGCAAUGUUUCUUCUACUUUUUCUUGGCUGGUGUUUUAAUCCCUUUUCAGCCUACAAAGCUGCUGUCUAUGUCUUCUAUCGUCCUUGAACGUGGUUUUUGCAAUCUUGACUGUUUGUAGAAAGAUUAAAACAGUUAUAUGUGUGUAUAACAUCAGCAUCAAGAUACAUUAUCACCAUUUUUUUUAUUCCACUACUAGUCUGUGAAUAAAUUAACCACCCGCCGGCCAGCAGCCAUAUCACACUGAACUGCACUCUAGUUAGGAUAAUCGAUGAUACUGGGUGUUGGAUUUUCUGUAUUUUAGAAAGUUGACUGAAGCCUAUGCUUUCUGCAGUCACUAUAUCAGAAGUCGGAAUAGUUCAAUAUGUAAUUAGCCUCCCAUGUAAAAACGAGGCAGGCAUAAGUGAUUAAUCAUUUUAGUCCAUAACAGAAGUAAGUGGAGAGUUUUAUAAAAAAAGGAACAAGGACUAAAUGAAUGGAGAAGGAAGAUCUGUGAAACUGAUUCUAACUAGUUUGGGAAUGCGGCAUGGUUGAGUUGAAAUGUGGGGUGGGGUUAGAGCACGGAGGAGAAUGGAAGAAGCUACACGGCCAUCAUUGACCAGCAUUGUUUCAUCAAACAUUGUACUAUUUCAACCAUGUGUUUUGCUUAAAUCAUAAAUUAUACCUAUGUUUCUAUGCUAAUUAAUUAACCCCUCUUGGAGUAGUCUUUGUGGUGCUUUGAGGAUUACUAUGGUAUGCACAAACCUUCUAAGUAUUCCAAUCUACCUUCCUCUUCACCACUAAUAUCAGGCUUGCCACAUGCCAGCUGUUAGUCUUGAGGUUAAAUAAUUUUUACAUCGUUAAGCCAUGAUUCUGUCACAAUUAUCAGAUUUCAAUGUAAAGUUGUUCUCUGUAUUUUCAUACCGAAAGGAAGAAUUCAGUCCUAUAAAUACAUGUAAUAAUCCCUAAUUUCUUGUCUAUAAUCCCUGAUUUGUAGUCUAUAAUAAAUACAAGAUAUUCUGUUACAAUUUGGUUGCCAUAUAUUGUUGAUAUUCUUGCCAUAAUAUACAUUGACAUCCCCGCUCAAAUUGAUGCUGGUCGAUCAAGAAGCAUCAAUUUGUCAAUCAUGAGUUGAUGUCGAGGCUGAGACAAGGCCUUCGUAAAGACAUCAGCUGUCUGAUGCUCGGUGGAAAUAUGAGGUAGUGUAAGAAUAUUAUGAUCAAGAGCUUCACGAAUAAAGUGACAAUCAACUUCAAUAUGUUUGGUGCGUUCAUGAAACACAGGAUUAGUAGCAAUCUGAAUAGCACUUGUGUUAUCAGCAUGAAGAGGUGUAGGAGUGUGCUGAGGAAAACCAAGUUCACGUAGCAAACCCUGGAGCCACACAAUUUCAGAACAUGCGGAGGACAUAGCUCGAUACUCAGAUUUUGUGGAAGAUUUUGAGAUUCGGUCUUGCUUUUUGCUUUUCCAUGAAAUUAAAGCAUUUUCAAGAAACAUACACCACCCAGUAACAGACCGACGUGUAUCCAUGCACCCUGCCCAAUUUGCAUCACUAUAACCUGUUAAUUGUAAUGAAUUAUCAGCAGGAAAAAAUAAUCCUCGCCCAGAUGUGCCUUUAAGAUAGCGAAGAAUUCUUCAAACAGCAGCUAAAUGAGGUUGACGAGGAGCCUGUAGAAACUGACUGACUUGUUGUACUGCAAAAGAAAUAUAUGGCCGAGUAAUGGUUAGAUAAUUCAAACUGCCCACCAAUUGCCUAUAUAUGGAGGGAUCAGGUAACAGGUCACCAUCAUUCUGACAAAGUUUUAAAUUAAUCUCAAGAGGUGUAAGAACGCUAUUCCCUGAUUCAAGACCGCCCAAGAGAAGAAUCUCUUGGGUGUAUUUGUGCUGAUGUAGAGAAAUCCCAUUAGACAUAGAGUGCACCUGGAGACCAAGGAAAUAGUGAAGGUGUCCCAGAUCCUUCAUAUAAAAUUCACUGUUAAUAGAACGCUGUAAAUCCUCAAUGAGUGGAAUGUCAGAUCCUGUAAUGAUAAUAUCAUCCACAUAUACCAGAAGAGCAACAAUACCAGUAGUAGUUUGCUGAAGAAAUAGAGAGGAAUCAUAUUGGCUCUGAAUAAAUUUAAGUUUCAGAAGAGUAGUGCGAAAUUUUUCAAACCAUGCCCGGGGUGCCUGUUUUAGACCAUACAGGGACCGUUUCAACCAGCAGACUUUAUCAGAUGGGUGAGUAAACAUACCAGGAGGAGGAGUUAUAUAAAUAUUCUCUUUCAAAUCUCCAUGUAAAAAUGCAUUUUUUACAUCCAUUUGACGAAGUGGCCAUCUCUUGGAAGCAACAAUUGCCAUAAUGGUGCGUAUGGUAGUCAUUUUAGCCACAGGUGCAAAUGUCUCCUCAUAAUUAAUACCAUAUGCCUGACAAUUUCCAAGAGCCACCAACCGUGCUUUAUAUCGUUCCACAAUCCAUCAGGUUGGAAUUUAAUAGUGUAUACCCAUUUGCAGCCAAUAGGUUUAAUACCGGUAGGACAAGAAACAAUAUCCCAUGUGUGAUUAUCCUGAAGAGCCUGAAGUUCCUCUUUCAUGGCCUGUUGCCAACAUUCUUGGGUACAAGCCUGCGCAUAAGUCUUAGGCACAAAAGUACUAUCAAUAGUGGUUGCUGAGUAUCCAUACCUGUUUGGGGCACGUGAAACUCUAGUUGAUCGUCUUAGUUGAGGGGAAUGAUCAGAUGUCGGUUCCGUGUCCGGAAGGGGCAAAGUGGAUGGUGGAUGACGUCUUUGAUAUACAAUUCCUGGCUUAAAACGUUCAAAGAUAUAAGAUGGACUAUCAUCAUCAAAUGUGGGAAGCUGGAUAGGAGUGGAGUCUGUAGAGGGACAAGAAGGGAAAAAAUUCUGAUUUUCAAAGAAAAUCACAUUUCGAGAGAUACGAAUUUUAUGAGCAUUUGCAUCAUAACAUACAAACCCUUUAUGAGAAUUACUAUAUCCUAGAAAAGCACAACGAGCAGUUGGGCUGAGAGUUUAUUACGUUCAGUAAAUGGUAAGUGAACAAAACAAACACACCCAAAAACAUGGAGAGAAUCAUACUCAGGAAGAACACCAAAUAAAAUAGAGUAUGGAGAUGCAAAGUUUAGAACUUGAGAAGGCAAACGAUUGAUUAGAUGAACGGCUGUUGAUAGAGCUUCUACCCAAAAUCGAGUAGGUACUGAAGAAUCAAUUAAUAAAGUGCGAACAACAUCUAAAAGAUGACGAUUCUUACGCUCAGCAAGUCCAUUUUGUUGAGGAGUGUAAGGACAAGAUCUUUGAGAGAGAAUCCCUUUGUUUUUGAGAUAUUCCUGAAAUUCUUUGGACACAUAUUCCCCCCGGAGUCAGAACGAAGUAUUUUAAUAUGAGCAGAAAAUUGAUUUUCAACAAAUACUAUGAAAGUCUGAAAUGUUGAGAAUACAUCAGCUUUAGAUCGGAGAAAAUAUAUCCAAGUGAAACGACUGAAAUCAUCAAUAAACGUGACAAAAUAUUUAUACUGAGCAUGAGAGAUAACAUGGCUUAUACCCCAUACAUCAGUAUGAAUAAUUUCAAAACAUUUAGAAGCACGACUACCAUGUGAAGGAAAUGAUAAUGCUUUGCUUUUACCCAAUUUGCAAGAACUACAGUCCAAAAAUUCUGUGGAAAAAGAAUUUUUAUUCCCCAAAUAUCCAUGUUUCAUAAGAUGAGUCAAUACAUUAGAAUUGGGAUGCCCCAAUUUCUUAUGCCAAAAAUGAGGAUUAUUAAUGACAGUAGAAUAAGCACAAGAAUUAAUACUAGGAAUAGAAAAUUGUAUUGGAAAUAAACGUCCCACUUUAGGCCCCUUCGCGAUCACCUUCCCCGACACUUGAUCCUGCACACAACAACCAUGACGAUUAAAGAGAAUUUCACAGUUAUUUUCUACCAUUUGACCAACAGAGAGUAAACUUGUUGAUAAUUUCGGUGACACAAAAAUAUUGUUGAAAUAAGACCCCAAAUUACCAAUCGAUAAAAUCGGCAGAUUAUCACCAUUUGCUACUUGUAUAUGCUGAUUACCCAUGUAUUUUCGCACAUUACACAACCCAUUUUCACUGCUGGUCAUGUGAUUCGACGCUGCCGAAUCCAUUAACCAUGGUUUAUUAUAUGCCGAAUCCAAAGAAAAGUUAAGUUUAUUACCAGAAAUCCCAAGUGCAGAGAAGGCAGAGAUGAUCAUCUGCUGCACCAUCUCGGGAGUGAUAGUGCCUGACGAAGAGCUCACCGACGAUGAAGAUUCUGGUGCCAACGGUAAGGACACGGCUGUGGCAGCCAUAGAAGUAGCCCCCAAUUUUGACUGCACAGUAAACCCUUGUCGAUUCUGUGGUCGCAGACGGCAUUCCCUGAUUACAUGCCCCUCCUUCUUACAAUAAUUACAGAAUUUCUUACUGCAAUUUCUGGCAAUGUGCCCUAAUUCCUUGCAAUUAAAACACUGCACACUCCCACCCCUCUGUCGUCCCCUUUCUUGAGCCAUGUAAGCCACAUUUAUCUCCGUGACAGUGUCCUGAGUCAACUCGUGUUGAGUGGCGAGUCGUUGUUCUUCCCGUAACAGUUCCCCCAAACAUUCAUCCAAGGUGGGUACUGGACUUCGGUUGAUCAAGCUAGCUCUCACGGCCUCAAAUUUUGGCCGGAGCUUCAUCAAGAACUGGUCCCUCUGGCUCUCGGCAUAAACAAGGUAUAGUGCUUCUAAACUCUCCUUCGGUAUUUUAGAGUAAAUUAUGCCAGUAUAUUCACUCCAUAGGUUUAGAAAUCCAGAAUAGAAUUGUUCAAUUGAGAGAUUACCUUGUUUGUAAUUGGCAAUACCCAUUUCGACCUGAAAUUUUUGAGUCGAAUUGUUCUGGGAAUAAAUGCGUCUGAAGUAGUCCCAAAUCUCAUUCCCUGUGCCAAACGAUCGAAGAUUGUUGAUCAUAUGGGGUUCAACAGACCCCAGUAUCCAGGAGACAAUUUUCGCAUCCUUGGUAGUCCAUAUACUCAGCUCCUGUGGUUCGGUUGGUGCUGGUGAAGAUCCAUCAAGAUGCCCCCAUAAUUCCUUCCUUUUAACAAACAUAUGAAACUGAAACUCCCAACUAUCAUAGUUUUUGCCAUUGAAUCGAGUAAGAAAAGCCUCUCCAGACAUCCUAGGAAUCCCAAAAAAAAUAUCACCAAAUACUGAUGAAUUCAGUCUCUAUAGACUUGAAAAGAACAAAGAUCUAGAUCAGAGAAUAACCGGCUCUGAUACCAUGUCACAAUUAUCAGAUUUCAAUGUAAAGUUGUUCUCUGUAUUUUCAUUGAUACCGAAAGGAAGAAUUCAAUCCUAUAAAUACAUGUAAUAAUCCCUAAUUUCCCGUCUAUAAUCCCUGAUUUGUAGUCUAUAAUAAAUACAAUAAAUACAAGAUAUUCUCUUACAAUUUGGUUGCCAUAUAUUGUUGAUAUUCUUGCCAUAAUAUACAUUGACAGAUUCAACGACCACGGCUGAGGAUUGAGUCGGUACUAGAGAAGGAAGGAGCAGAGUAAUCAUUAGAUCUAUGGAAAGACAAGUUGAAAUCCCCAGGCUCUUCAUGACUAACUGGCAUCAAACCUAUGCUUGCACCAUCAAGCGGCAUCUCUGGCAGGCUAGCAUUCCCAUCCAGAUAUUGCGCAAUUUGCCUCAUGCUUGGCCUUGCUUGUGGUGUAGAGAAAGAACAAAGCAGACCUAGCCUUAAAACCAAUUCCAUUUCCUCCACCACGUAAUUACCUUCCAAUUUUGGAUCAACCGUUCGAAGAAUGUCUCCUAUUUUCCAGGAAUCAAGAACCCAGUCAACCAAAAUCAUCUUUUCUGCUGAUUGUUCUGGCUCUAAAGGUUUCCUUCCACAAGCCAUUUCAAGCAUAAAAGUGCCAAAAGCAUAAACAUCACUGCUGGUAGUGGCCCUUCCUGUUCUAGUAACCUCUGGCGCAAUAUAUCCAACUGUUCCAACCACACAGGUUGUUUGAGGAUUGGCCCCGCGAUCAUAGAAUUUAGCAAGCCCAAAAUCUCCUAGUCGACCAUUGAAAUCAUCAUCUAACAGUAUAUUGCUAGCUUUCACAUCUCUAUGCAGAACAACCUGUUCCCACUCUUCAUGGAGGUAAAGAAGGGCAGACGCAACUCCUCUGAGGACCUGAUAUCGCCGAACCCAAUUAAGGCUGGGUGUGUCAUUGCGAAAUAGGAGUUUAUCAAGGCUUCCGCGGGGCAUGUAAUCAUAGACCAAGAGGAGCUCUCCCUUUCUCCGGCAAUAGCCUAGGAGCUGGACCAAGUUCCUGUGCCUCAGCCUUCCCAUGCUAGCAAUCUCAGCAACAAACUGCUUAGUUCCUUGUUUGGAAUCAUGGGAUACUUUCUUGAUCGCGACUUGCAUAUUGGAAGAAGGCAAUACUCCUCUGUAAACCUUUCCAAAACCACCACUUCCCAGCAACUUUCUGUCUGUGAAACCUGUAGUUGCUUUGUAUAAAUCCUCGUAGGAGAAUCUUUGAGGACCAUACUCCUGUUCCCAAUCUUCGCGCAGUUCUUCAUAUUUCUUCCUCCUUGUUAUACAAGCAGCACCAGAGAUUGCUACCAGCAAAAUGAUUGCUGUUAUUGUUGGGGCCAGAAUUCUUAAAUAUGGUUUCUUUCUUGAUUUUCUUUGAGGGGGAAGUGAAGGCAACUUUGACACGUCAAGACUUUGAGCUUGUCCGCCUCUGUUGAAGCUCCACCCCAGAAUAUAGUGGCUGCUAGCCACUGCUCCAGUAGAUGAAGAAAAACCAACGUACAUAGAAUCCAACAUAACAGAAGAAAGAUCGAGAGGUGUUGACAAAAGAGGCAAGGUUGGUUUUGUUCUUGUGACAGGAGCAACUGUAACAUUGAGUAGCUUCUCUACUUCAUCAUAAUCUAUCCACACGUGCAUCACAUGACCACUUAUGAGAGACAAGCUCUUAUUCUCCUUUUCCUCAUCUGAAAAGUAGGUCACCGGAGCAGAUUUAUUGGAUUUCAAGCUGUUUACAUCAAUUCCAACGUGGUGUCAUUGAUGUCUUUAAGAUCCGGGCUUGGAACUGCAUCCAGCUCAACUGCCACUAGAUGGUUUGAAGGUAGGCCAUCGCUUUUAGGAUUGAGGAUUCCAAAGUACUGAGUUGCCAUAGCCCCUGUGAAGUCCACAGAUGGAGAGAUUGUGAAGGCCAUGCCAUGGCCACCAAGUGUAGGCUGCUCCGGGACCAUGGCAAACGCAAACUGGGUAGAGAACGAGAGAGACCGAGAAUUGUUGAAUAAAGAUGUGUUGAACUGAAAAGGGAAUGGGAAGAAAGCACGGCCAAUUUGCUGUUUUGAAGUGUUUGUCAGCUCUAAGAGCCCAUUUGGAUGGAUUUUUGCAAUCCCGCUGAGGAGCAGGUCGGGUCCAGUGAAGCCAUGAUAGAUGAAGUGGUUUUCCUCUUGAGCUAAGGCCAAGAGCUUCAAGGAAACAAACAGGCCGAGUAGAAAGUGCAAUGAUUUGAACGAUGCAAUCAUCAUAAGAACGUGCAGAAGAUUGUUUUUGCUUCUUCAGUUACACAUUGGUAAAAGAACACACUUUUUUCGCUUCGAGUUUCUCCUUAUUUGUUGUUACAGUUUCAAAUCCUCAGUCUAAAGACUGAAUUAUAAACAAGUCUCGUCACAUUGCUAUGACUUGGGCGCAUUCGAACCUUCUCCAAAGCUUUUUCUUGGGAAAAAAAAUAGGGAAAACUACUUUUCAACCAAUAUGAGCUCGAAGUUUCCUUUGUAACUCUCGGAACUUCUUCGUAGUAUUCAUUCCAUGCCUUAUUUUAUAGGGAGCUUGAAAGUGGCUCUAUUUCAUUAUAUUUCAUUCAUAUCCCAAUUUUAUUAAUUUAAUAUCCCCUUUCUUUGGUGUCAUUAACAUCAAAGAUGUCGUUUCUAGUUUAUUUAUUUCUGUUUCUAUUUCUAUAUAUAUAUGUGGAGCAAUUAGGCAUAAAUUGAUAUUGAUCCCUAAAAAUUUGGUAACUUUUACUCCAUUAACAAUCACUUAUGAAUCUUUUUUCGGAUUAUACCCCUUAUCUCAAGUUUUGGAUCGAGCGAAUCCAUUGACACAAAUAGUUCAUGGGAGAAAAUGUUUAUAAUUAAUUAAUUAAUUAAAUUAAAUUUUUAAAAAAUUAAAUUUCUCAAAAAAUGUUAAAUUUAACAAAAAGCAACAAAUAAAAAGAUUCAAUAUAACCCAUGUUAUUUUCAAAACCAAUGAAAAUUUCUAUUGAAAUAAAAUAAAAAGAUAAUGGAACCUAAUCUCUAAUUAAAUAAAUACCGAAUGAUGAAAUUAAAGAGACAUGAGCUUAAAAAAAGGGAGAAAAUAAGUAUAAAAUUUGAUAGGAAAAAAAUUGGAGGAUGAAAUAAUAAUAAAAAAAUAAAUUCAAAAAACCAUCUAAAACAAAUAAAUAACAAUCAAAAGAAUAAAUAUCAAAUUUAAUAAAUAAAAAAUUUUCAAUUCUAUAAAUUAUUUAAAAUAAAAUAAAUAAUAAUUACAAGAAAAGAGAUCAAAUUCCAAGAAAAAAUAAAUUGAAAUGCUGGUUUUAAGUUUUAGAGGGUCACGUGUAGAAAUUAAGGAAUAAAAAAAAAAAGAAGAAGUUGUUAGCACCAAAUCUUAGGUUGGUUGACUACAAGCGUAACCCAGACGUAAAGGAGCUGUCAAGACAAUUUCAACACCGCCUUGAAAGCCACUAUUAAUCAAGGAGUCGAAAUUUAAAAAAAAGAAAAAAGAAGUUGUUAGCACCAAAUCUUAGGUUGGUUGACUACAAGCAUAACCAAGACGUAAAGGGGUUGUCAAGAUAAUUUCAACACCGCCUUGAAAGCCACUAUUAAUCAAGGAGUCGGAAUUAAAAAAAAAAAGAAGUUGUUAGCACCAAAUCUUAGGUUGGUUGACUACAAGCGUAACCCAGACGUAAAGGGGUUGUCAAAACAAUUUCAACACCGCCUUGAAAGCCACUAUUAAUCAAGGAGUCAGAAUAAAAAAGAAAAGAAAAAGUUCUUAGCACCAAACUUUAAGUUGGUUGACCAUAAGCGUAACUUAGAUGUUAAGGGGUUGCCAAAACAACAUUAACACCGCCUUGAAAUCUACUAUUUAAAUAACCACAUAAAUAGCACAAGAAAAGCCCAUCUGCCAGGUUUUUUUUAUAUAUAAAUAUAUUUAUUAAAUAAUCAAAUUGCUUGUAAAUCAAUUUUAUUAUAAUAAUAAAAAAACCAGUUUGAAAAAAUAAAAAAACUCCUGAAUAUAAGUUAAUUGUUUUUGCUUGUAAGUGUACAUCAGUCUUUUACAACGUUUAAGAAAGUGUUAAGGACAAAUAAGCUCUUGAAAACCAGUUGAAUAGCUUUAAGGGAUAUUUUUUUGUCAUUUUAAAGUGAAAAAAAAUAACAUGGGAAUAACUUUUUGCUCUUGAUUAAUUUGGAUCCCGUAAAAAGACUAAAUUGACCUCAAUAUUUCAGUGCAAGGGCAAAUCUGCAAACGCCCCAUUCCAAUGAAUAAACUUACAAGUCAAGUAUGUGUCUGAGAUUUAUUUAUUUAUUUAUAAUUUAAUUUAAUUUAAAGGGUGAAAAAUCCAUUUCAACGACGUUAUUUCUGGGUGGCCAUCUUUGACUCUAUGCACUUUGCAGAAGAACGGUACAAUCUUAGAAAAAUCACUGCGCCUUGAUAGCUAACUGAAAAUGACAAUUCUGUAUAUGAUUCUUGCGAUCCACUCAGAGAUUCUUUAUUUUUAAUGUUUUAAAAAUAUUUAUUAUUUAUUAUUAUUUUUAUUUCAAAUUAAUAUUUUUAUUGUGUUUUUAGAAUAUUUUAAUGUAUUAAUAUUUAAAAUAUUUUUUAAAAAAUAAAAAAUUAUUAUUUUAAUAUAUAUAUUUUUUUAAAAAAAAACUUAAAAAAAAUAACAGCUAUUCUCCUUUUCAAUUCCCUUUAAAAGAAAAUAGUAAUAAAUGAAUAUAAUAAAUAGUAGAAUUCAAAUACGUCAUGUCAUGUCAUGCGAUGCCAUGCCGUAGCCGAUACAUGAACUUGAGGUGGACACCUCAUGCGUUGGCGUGGCUCUCGUCUCGUCUCCUAAUGAAAGAUGCUGCUUAUCCUUGACCCACUACAGUUAUGCCUACCCAUUUAGCUCUCGUCUUUUUUCUAUUUCUAUCGUUUUUUUUUUCUUUUUUGAUUAAGUAAUAAUUGAGUGCUAUAAUCUUAUCCAUUUUAAGAAACAAUGACAAGAUUUAUGGAAUCAUUUGAAUUCCAAGUACAAGAGAAUCAGAAUAAUAAAUAACUCGACAAUAUUGAUAUCAAACCAUAUAAAAAUUAACUAUAUAAAUUAAUAAUAAUAAUAAUAAUAAAGAGUCAAAGAGAAUUGUCAGAUAUGAUAUUAAUGUAAGGAUAAAAACAAAGAUAAAAUAAUUAUUAAGGUUAGAGGAUCCACUAAUAAUAUUAGAGAUAAGUAAAGUAUAAAUUCUUUAUAAAUUAUUAUCAUGAUCAUAUUAAUCAUCUUAUUUACAUGAUACAUAUAAAUUUUAUCAAGUAUUCAUGAUGCUAACUUAUGUUGACAACAAAUCAAGUUUCUUUCAUAACAACAAUGUCAGCUGAAGACUAUGAAUGAUCAAGCAUUUAAUGUACCAAGUGUUAUAUAACACAAAUCUAGAUUAACCAUUUAAUAAGCAAGGUAUUAAGGAUUGAUAAAAUAAAAAGAUAAAACAUGUCAAUAUCAAAUUUUCUUGGAUAUAAGCAUUUAAGUUCAUAUUGAGUUUAUAUUAUACUUAUUUUAACACCAUUAGUGAAACCUUUUCACCUUGACAUGAUAAACUUAGCUAAACAUUAUGAAGAAUAAGAACAUAAAUAAACAAGAUAAGAACAUAGUUAACUAAGUAUAGUAGAUGAAAUGAAAAACAUAAACAAAAAACUACUAUAACAAGAAAUAAAACUUAAACACUACAAAAAUUCAAAGAAAGCAAGAACAUGGUCUUGAUCUAAAAACCAAGAUGCCUAAAUGAAUGGCAAAUGCCUCCUUUUAUAGGCUAAAAUUCAGAACUAUUCAUUUGGUAAUUGAUAAUUGAUGUACUUGUCAACUAUUGAUUUAGUGGACUUGAUGGACAACAGCACUCAAGCACUUUGGCUGGAUGAAAUGACAUUGAUGCAAUCAGAAUUUGGCAAAGUAUUAUUCAUGAGAGUUGUUGGAAAUCAUCUCCUCUUUCCACCCACAACAUUUCAAAGUAUUUGGAUCACUACAAAUCGAGAUAUGGCUAAAAUACUGAGUAGUGCUUCUUGUGGACGUGAUGUAUAGCCCUCAAGCUCUUGUUUGAAUGAAAUAUCAUUGUUAACCUCAUAAUUUGAGCAAGUGAUCUCAUGAAAGUUGUUGGAAAUUGUUUUAUCUUUCCACCCACCAAAUUUGACGUCAUUUUACCUUCUAAAACUCCAGCUAUGGGUAAAAUUCUGAGCAGUGUUUGGGUUGGAUUGCAGGAUAGAUUAUGACUUCUCUUUUGUGGCCAAGCUUUGAAUUUGAAAAUGGCAGCUUUGAAUAUAUAUAUAUUUCUUCUUUGCUCGCUCUACGACGCAGGCUCAACUUUUAUUUUCAUAAAAAGAUAUCAUAAAAAUCUAAGACCAAAAAGCGUUGGGCUUGGCUACAGUGUCGGACCCAAGAGCGUUGCGUCUGGCUUCAACGUCAAACCCAAAAAUAAUAAUUAUAAUAUUAAUAAUAAUAUUUUACUUGUCUGCCAAAAUAUCUAUUUUUUUAAUCUUUAAAAAAAAUUAUGGUUUUUUUUUCCGAUAGUAAUAAUAGUUUUUAAAAAUUUAUUGACGAUGAUUAUUAUUAUUUAUUUUAAACUUCAAAUCAAAUCUAUAGUUUUUUUUUUCAAUAUAGAUAAUAAUUUGUUUUCAAAUUUAUUAAUUAUUUUAUUAAUAAUAUUAAUUAUAAUAAAAAUAAUAAUGUUUAUAUCACAAAUAAUACUAUUUUUAAUAUUAAUACUUUUAAUUAUAAUAAAAAUAAUUAUAUUUAGAAAUCUAAAAUUCAAGAAUCUUUGGUCCAGAUGCAAGACCCAUUAGCCUUGGGUCCCGAUGUCGGACCCAAGAGUCUUAGGUGGACACAACCCAAGGGAAUUUGGUCCUAACAUAGGACCCAUUAACCUUUAUUCCUGAUGCAUGACCCAUUAACCUUAGGUCUUGAUGCAGGACCCAAGAGCAUUGGGUUAUGACGAAGGAUCAAUAAUCUUGGGUCAGACGGGUCUUUAAGACCCAAGGGAUUUGGGUCUGCGCCUAGCCACCCCCAUGCACCUUGUAUCUGGAAAAGAAUGCCUGACCCAAGAGGAAAGGAAAAAAAAUAAGAGAAAAAAAUUAUUGAUAGGUCUUGCUAAGAGCAGCAACCUACGCUAAUGGAUCCUGUUAGGGACAGACAGGAUCCAAGGCAGAUGUGUCCAGCGGCGGUUGGACCAAAAGCUAUUUUGGGUCAUUCUUGGGACAGGACCCAACUCGAAUGGGUCUUGUUGGGCAGGAACCAACUUAAUAUAUUCUCUUGGCUGUGGCUGUGCAGCCAGACUCAAUCUCAAUAUAAUUAAAAAAAUUAAAAGAAAUACAAAACAUCCAAAAUAUUAAUUUGAAGUAAAGAAAACAAUAAUUUUUUUUUAAUUUUUGAAACAUAAAACCAAACAUGCUUUAAUAAGAAAAUUCAACCCAGCCUGAAAUGAAAAAAAUUUAUCAUCACCCAACUUUUGUAUAAUAUAUAAAAAAAGUCACAAUAAUGUUUUUUCUCUUUACAGUAUGAAAAAAAAUCAAUAAGAGCAAAAAAAAAUCAAGAGGGAAAAAAUAAAAUUGGAAAUAUCUUAAAAUAUUUUUUAUUUUUUAAAAUCUAUUUUUAUAUAAUCACAUCAAAAUAAUACAAACACAUCUUAAUAUGAAUAAAAGGAAAAAAUUAUUAAUUUGAAGGAAAAAAAUAAAAAAUUGUCCAAUUUUUUUCAAAGCAUUUUUGAAAUCCAAAACGAAAGAUGCUUUAAUAAGGAAAUUCAACCCCACCUAAAAUGAUAACAAUAAAUAAUAGCUUUUUUUUCAAUUUACUAAUGAUAACAAUAAAUAACAAUAAUAUUUAGUAUAGUAAUAAUAAUAUCAAACUUGUCUAGUCCAAGUUUUUAUAGUAAUAAUCUUUUUAUAAAAUUUAUUAAUGAUAACAACAACAACAAUAAUAAUUGUUAUUAGUUAUUAUAUUUGUUUUCAAUUGUUUUCAAUUUUUUUUAUUUUUCUCUGAGGGGUCUGCAACUCUUGGAGGGGUCUGUGGACCCUAUGCACGGCAGAAAAAAUCCAGACGGGCAGGUCUGCACCCCGCUCCUAGUUCUGCACAUCCCAAGCGCUGGGUUAUGCAGACCCAAGCAACCGAGUUUGGAGCCCCAAGGGUGAGGGUCUGAAAAUCGUGAGGGGGGUCUGCAGACCCGCUUGCUUAGGUCUGCAGCCUUUACGUGCGGUUCUGCACAUCUUACGCUGCAGGAGUUCAUACCCACUCACCUGGGUCUGCAACCUUGCACGCAGCCCAGUCUUGGCACCUUGUGUCUGCAGCCUGGGAUCUACAGUCCCACUUGGCGCACAGGUACCCAAGGCUUGCUAGCCCCAGCACCAGGUGUCUGCAGCCUCACCACAACUGUAGUUGAUCUAGGGGAGCGGGUCUGCAGCCUUACCAUGCCCCACUACCACAGUGAAAUCUAUAAUGAAAUUACUCACAGUCCAUAAUAACUCUCGUUACAGUGUCAAACAGUGUAAUACACGGUGAAAAUGCUCCCAAUCCACAGUAAUUGUCAUUACAGUAAAAUAUUAAUCCUUUUUAGUUAUAGUUAAUAAACCAACCUACAAUAGGCCAAAGAAAAGCAUAGGCUUCUCAUUUGAUUAUUAUUAUUAUUAUUAUUAAAACCUAACGCUUGCUUUAAGCAUGUUUUUGUCCCAUUUAAAGCAUAAGCUUAUCCAAGUUGCUGCAACCUCACAAGAUACUUUCAGGUAUCUUCGAACUGUUUAAAAGAUUGUGGUUCAAGGUAUCCAUGAGCUUUGCCUAUCAUCCUCAUUUAGAUAGCAUAACUUAUUUAAGGAAAGCUCUACAUGGUAUAAAAUAGUGUGUAUAUAUAGUUUUAUUGUGUGGUUCAGUUAAUUAUUUUAAAAUUACUUAUAUAAAAAAAAUUUAUUUAAAAAAUAAGGUUAUAUAAACUUCAAUUUCUAGACCGAGUGUUUAAAAGUAUAGUAAUAAUUGCUUUUAAAAAUAUUUUUUAAUUUAAAAUAUAUUAAAAUAAUUUUUUUAAAAAAAUUAUUUAUGAUAUCAACAUAUUAAAUUGGAGUAAGAAAAAACUAAAAAGAUAUUAAAUUAAAAAAAACAUUUUUAAAAUAAAAAAAAUAAACAAACAAUUUAACUUUUUAUGGAGAAUUAGCAAUUUUUCAAGCUCAUUUUGUUAUUGUGAUAUCGAUUACUUUUUAAAGAGUUUUUUUCCUUGAAAAUAUAUUAAAAUAAUAUUUUUUUUAUUUUUUAAAAUUGAUUUUUAACAUAGUUGAAAACAUAAAAAAAAUUAAAAACAAAAUUAAAUUAAAAAAUAAGUACUUUUAAAAUAAAAAACAAACUUAUAUUUCAUUAUAAAAACCACACCACUGCACGGAUCAUCCUUCCCUGAUUCAUUUCUCUUCCUAUUGGCGGAUUAUCUUAGUGAGCUGAUUUGGUCAGUCGCAGCCACUACAACAGUUGAUCCAUGGCUGCAGUCCUUGCCUUUGACACCUCUGUGAACAGCAAGAUAUUAACAGGAGGAAAGGGAGUGGUCGGUUCUCUCUUCCAAGCUCUCACGGGCACCGUCAGUUCAUAUGAACACAUCAGUACCGGUAAUUUUCACUUUGAUGGCUAUCCUGCAUCUGUAUCAACUUCCUUUUGCUUUUUUUUUUUUUUUUUGUGGUAUUUUUCGGGGAGGCUAAUGUCUGUUAAAUCUUUUCCAGUAUGAGCUUGUUUUUCCUAAGAUGGAAUCAAGUCACUUCAUGUUUAUCUUGCUCUGUGUAAGCUCUUUGAGGGACCCAAAUUAGAAUUAAAGUUGAUCAUUACAACUAAUCUCCAUUGCUUGAUAAAUUAGAGUCUGUUUAAUCACUUAGGGUAGUUGGAUGCAGGAAAGGCUGCACAGCAAGUGAACGUAUCCUGUCCCAAGAGGUUGCGCUGCCUCAUCUGCAACAAGCUGUGACCCUAUAACCAGGAGAAAUGAUGGAAGCUUUUUGAUCAGACAUCUCUAGCCUUUUCAUUAGGUAAUUGGGUAUCUACACUCUUUCUGAAAGCAGGGUUAUUAAUAUUGCUGCCUUCUUAUUGCAAAUUUUGUUGCAAUGUUUCUUUUACUUUUUCUUGGCUGGUGUUUUAAUCCCUUUUCAACCUACAAAGCUGCUGUCUAUAUCUUCUUUCUUCCUUGAACGUGUUUUUUGCAAUCUAGACUGUUUGUAGAAAGAUUAAAACAGUUAUAUGUGUGUAACAUCAGCAUUGUUUCAUCAAACAUUGUACUAUUUCAACCAUGUGUUUUGCUUAAAUCAUAAAUUAUACCUAUGUUUCUAUGCUAAUUAAUUAACCCCUCUUGGAGCAGUUUUUUAUGGUGCUCUGAGGAUUCCCAUGGCAUGCACAAACCUUCCAAGACCUUCCAAGACCUUCCUCUCCCAGGCUUGCCACAUGCCAGCUGUUAGUCUUGAGGUUAAAGAUUCAACGACCACAGCUGAGGAUUGAGUCGGUACUAGAGAAGGAAGGAGCAGAGUAAUCAUUAGAUCUAUGGAAAGACAAGUUGAACUCCCCAGGCUCUUCAUGACUAACUGGCAUCAAACCUAUGCUAGCACCAUCAAGCGGCAUCUCUGGCAGGCUAGCAUUCCCAUCCAGAUAUUGCGCAAUUUGCCUCAUGCUUGGCCUUGCUUGUGGUGUAGAGAAAGAACAAAGCAGACCUAGCCUUAAAACCAAUUCCAUUUCCUCCACCACGUAAUUACCUUCCAAUUUUGGAUCAACCGUUCGAAGAAUGUCUCCUAAUUUACAGGAAUCAAGAACCCAGUCAACCAAAAUCAUCUUUUCCUCUGAUUGUUCUGGCUCUAAAGGUUUCCUUCCACAAGCCAUUUCAAGCAUAAAAGUGCCAAAAGCAAAAACAUCACUGCUGGUAGUGGUCCUUCCUGUUCUAGUAACCUCUGGCGCAAUAUAUCCAACUGUUCCAACCACACAGGUUGUUUGAGGAUUGGCCCCACGAUCAUAGAAUUUAGCAAGCCCAAAAUCUCCUAGUCGACCAUUGAAAUCAUCAUCUAACAGUAUAUUGCUAGCUUUCACAUCUCUAUGCAGAACAACCUGUUCCCACUCUUCUGAGGACCUGAUAUCGCUGAACCCAAUUAAGGCUGGGUGUGUCAUUCUGAAAUAGGAGUUUAUCAAGGCUUCCAUUGGGCAUGUAAUCAUAGACCAAGAGGAGCUCUCCCUUUCUCCGGCAAUAGCCUAGGAGCUGGACCAAGUUCCUGUGCCUCAGCCUUCCCAUGCUAACAAUCUCAGCAACAAACUGCUUAGUUCCUUGUUUGGAAUCAUGGGAUACUUUCUUGAUCGCGACUUGCAUAUUGGAAGAAGGCAAUACAAGGUCAAAGAAAAUAAAAUUCGUUUGAAAAUCUUCUAUGGCGAGAAAUAAAUUCCGUUACUAAUUGGACUUCCAAAUUAAUUAUUAUUUUACUGAAUAUUGCAGAUUGAAAAUCUUCGUUGCUCGGACAUGCAGUGCGCAAGUGUCCGGAUUCGGACUUGGUUUUCCAGAAUUCUCUAGUUGGUUCACAGAUUGAAGUGUUGAAGGAACACUGGGUGGGUAAAAGUGUUGAACAAACUCAAUCCAGAAGCUCCCAAAUGGUCAAGGAAGGCAACCACCAGCCGCCACCGACCAGCCGCAGCCGCCAGCCGCCUUCACACCUGCUGCCGCCAGCCGCCUUUACACUUGAAGGUUGAAUUUUCGUAUUUUGAUUUGUGUAUAAAUAGAGUGCCCAGCUUCUGUUAUAUGUGUGGAGAGAAUUGAGAGGAACACUUAAAAGAGAAUAGAGAGAGAGAGGGCGUGUAAUUGUUAAGCUUUUGUGUUGUAUUUGUAAGCUUCGGAUUUUGUAAUAAAACAAUUUGUUUUAUCCCCUCUUAGUGUUUCAAAGCCAUCACCAGUGGUUUCUCCUACCAACAAUUGAUAUCAGAGCCCCGUUCGUCGGAAAAGAGAAGAGUUUUGGGGUAUAUCCGAAUUUUCAAAGUUGUCAAAAACAAGUUUUGAUCAUUCCACAGUGUAGAGCUCAUCAAGACGAACUCACUGCCGUAAAAAUCAGCCUCAUCGGAGUCUGCGGUAGCCCACACGCGCCGCCUGAAUAUUCUACCAGAUUGCCCACGCACAUCCCACGCGCCCCGAGGUUGAAGACGACUGAGCCACAAGCGCGCCAUAUUUGAGCCGCGCCGAGCCGAGCCACAAGCCGAGCCGUACCCUCGCGCCGAGCCGAGCCGCGUUCCAGCCUCAGCCGAGCAGAAGGAAUAUUCCCCAGAAUAUUCCCGGUUCAAACCAGCGAACCACCCGUCGUACAGAAUUGGUUUUUGGACCGGUUCACCCAUUUUCUGACCCGAAUUUCAACAAAGUCAGACCGGUUCCCGACUAUUUGGACCAUUCCGGAUCGAUCUACAAUGUCCGUUUGGUCAAAUUCGGCUCCCAAAAGGCGAUAUAGUCAUUAAAAGAGCAAAAUGACUACAGAAGGUACACAUACACUCAUCCCGAAGCUGACCAAAGACAACUAUGAUAGUUGGUGCAUCAGAUUGAAGGCAUUCCUUGGGUCACAAGAGUGUUUGGAUAUUGUACAAACUGGUUAUGAUGAACCAGAAUCCAAAGAAAGAGAAGAUGCUUUACAAGAGGCACAUAAGCAAGCCUUGAAAGUCAACAGAAAGAAGAACAACAAAGCAAAGACCAUCAUCUACCAAGGUCUUGAUGAAGAUACAUUCGAGAUCAUAGCUUCCGCUGAAACAUCACAUGAUAUAUGGGAGGCUCUCCAACAGAAAUACAAAGGUGCUGACAGAAUCAAGAAGAUUCGUCUUCAAUCUUUGCGAGGAAAAUUUGAGUUAUUGCAAAUGAAGUCCUCGGAGUCUAUUUCUGAUUAUCAUACAAGGAUUAUGGUGAUAGUCAACCAUAUGAGAAGAAAUGGAGAAGCCCUCGUCGAUUCUCGAAUUACAGAAAAAAUUUUGAGAUCCCUAGAUCCAAAAUUCGAUUUUGUUGUUGUCGCAAUUGAAGAGUCCAAAGAAGUGGACAAGUUGACGGUUGAUGAGCUUAUGAGUUCGUUGCAAGCUCAUGAGCAGAAGAUAGUAAAGCGAAAUGGAGAUAAGGCCAUCGAGCAUGCCUUACAAGCAAAGCUGUCCCUCAAGGACAUAUAUGAGCAAGGGGAGACUUCAUCAAGUGGAUACACCACUCAAGGAGGAAGUCAACAAUCCAGAGGAGGAUUCCAGCAAUUCCAAGGAAGAGGUUCUUGGAAUACAAGCUUUAGAGGAAGAGGUGGCAGAAACACCACCAGAGGAGGCCGAGGACAACAAGCAUUCACUCCUAGAGGAAGAGGAGGCGGUUACAAUAACCGUGACAAGAGGAAUAUCAAAUGUUAUAGCUGCAAUCAAUUUGGGCACUAUAGCACUGAAUGCCGAUGGAAAGCUCCGUUGGAGAUACGUGAGCAUGCCAACUUUGCAGAGAAUGAUGACAGAGAAGCAUCAGCAUUUCUUGUCCAACAAGAACUUGGCGAGAAACAGGAAAAUAUAUGGUAUCUAGAUACUAGAGCCAACAAUCACAUGUGCAGCUACCGAGAGUUAUUUGGUGAUCUAGAUGAGACCAAGCAAGGUCUAGUUACUUUUGGAGAUACCACAAAGGUUCCAUUCAAAGGUAAAGGCAGCAUCCCAGUCAAGUUGAAGAAUGGCGAUUCCAGCUACAUCGCCGAUGUGUAUUAUGUCCUAGCCAUAAAGUAGAACCUGAUCAGCUUAGGUCAACUUUUAGAGAGAGGAUAUAGUUUUUACUCGAAGAAUUGUCAUCUGACAAUUAGAGACAACAAUGGGAGAUUAAUGGCCUACGUGAAAAUGUCCAAGAAUAGGAUGUUUCCUUUGAACAUCCAGUAUGAUGCAACAAGGUGUUUGAGUGCCAUCACCAACAGUGAAGAAUGGCUUUGGCACCUGAGGCUUGGACAUCUGAAUUUCAUGAGUUUGAAGAUGCUAGCAAGCAAGAAGAUGGUCAAAGGUUUGCCUCACAUUGAUCAUCCAGAUGAAGUCUGUGAAAGUUGUGUCCUCAGCAAACAUCACAGAUCCAGUUUUGCCAAAGAAGUCAACUGGAGAGCAAAGAGGCCACUGGAGUUAGUACACACAGAUGUGUGUGGCCCAAUUACGCCUAUGUCGACUGGACAAAAUAGGUACUUCCUCACUUUUACUGAUGAUUUUAGUAGAAAGACGUGGAUAUACUUUCUGAAGAGGAAGUCAGAAGUAUUCAAUUGUUUUAAAGAUUUUAAAGCAAUUGUGGAGAAGCAAACUGGUUAUACGAUCAGAACAGUGAGAUCUGAUCAAGGUGGAGAAUAUACAGCAAAUGACUUUGAAGCCUAUUGUACACAACAAGGCAUCCGACAUCAGACGACACCAGCUUAUACACCACAGCUGAACGGUGUAGCAGAAAGGAAGAAUCGCACGAUUCUUGACAUGGCCAGAAGUUUGCUCAAAGCAAAGAAGCUGCCCAAGCAAUACUGGGCUGAAGCUGUAUCAUGUGCAGUGUAUCUACUGAAUCGCUGCCCAACCAGAAGUUUGCAAGGAGUCACUCCAGAAGAAGCAUGGAGUGGUCAUAAACCAAGUGUUACUCAUCUACGAGUCUUUGGUUGUGUGGCAUAUGCAAAGAUCCCAGAUGCAAGAAGGAGAAAGCUCGAUGAUAAGAGCGAGAAAUGCAUCUUUGUCGGAUAUGGUGAAAGAAGGAUGGGAUACAGGCUGUAUAAUCCUAUCACGAAGAAGGUGAUUACAAGUAGAGAUGUUAUCUUUGAAGAAGAUAAAUCUUGGGAAUGGAAUGGUGAUCAAGAAGCAGUCAAAUGGAUCAAUCUUGAUUUGAUCCUUGAAGGUGAAGAAGUACCAACAGUACUUGUCGAAGAACCAAUUGUGCCAGCAGCUGAACCACAAAGUCCGGUGUUUAUACCAGCAGCUGAACCACAAAGUUCGGUGCACAGAUUCCCUGUAUUCAACAGGAGGAACACACCAGGAGCAUCAUCAUCAACACCACCAUCAGCAUCCUCAUUAGAAGGACCAAGAAAGAUGCGGAAUCUUGAAGAGUUGUACGAUACCACUCAGGUUAUGGAAGAUACAACUCUGUUUUGUUUUCAUGCAGAUAGUGACCCAUUAAGCUCCAAUAAAGCUGUCACAGAAAAGAAAUGGAUUAAAGCAAUGGAUGAAGAAAUACAUGCCAUUGAGAAGAAUGAUACCUUGAAGCUGACUCGUCCACCAGAAAAGAAGAAAGCAAUAUGUGUCAAAAGGGUCUACAAGACGAAAGCCAAAUUAGUGGAUAAAGGCUACAAGCAGAGAGAAGGCAGUGAAAGGAGAAGUGUUCAUGCUUGGCAUGACAUCCCUCGAUUGAGUUUAAAGGGGAGAUUUGUUGAAUAAACUCAAUCUAGAAGCUCCCAGAUGGUCAAGGAAGGCAACCACCAGCCGCCUUCACACCUGCUGCCGCCAGCCGCCUUCACACUUGAAGGUUGAAUUUUCGUAUUUUGAUUUGUGUAUAAAUAAAGUGCCCAGCUUAUGUUAUAUGUGUGGAGAGAAUUGAGAGAAACACUAGAAAGAGAAAGAGAGAGAGAGGGCGUGUUUAAGCUUUUGUGUUAAUUAAUUGUAAGCUUCGGUUUCUUGUAAUAAAACAAUGUGUUUUAUCCCCUCUGAGUGUUUCAAAGCCACCACCAGUAGUUUUUCCCACGAACAAAAAGAAGAUUGAAGUGACAAAGAGCACUGGGUGGCAUUUCUUUAAUUUAUCUAAACCAAAAUAAAAGGAUGUUCAAGCCUGAUUCUUAUGAGCAAAUGGAAAUGGGGUCAUAGAUUGCAAACUAGAUGGGUGGCUUCAGCUGGCUGAAUUUUUUAAAAAAACGUUAAAAAGAUGCUAAAACGACACAAUUGUUUCUGAAAAGUUAAAAAAUAUAAGACUUGAGUCUUUUUUUUUUGGAAUUAAUAAGCUAAGCGAUUUUAAAUAAUAAAAAUUAAAAAUAUAGUUAAAUUGAAAAACAAAUUGACAAAAAAAAAAGAUUGUUCCGGAAUUAAUAAAGCACCGUCUUAUCUUGAAAGCCACUAUUUGCCUCCUAACAUCAUCUUACUAGCCACACAAAUAACACAAGAAAAGCUCAUGUGCCAGUUUUUUUUUUCAAUAUUUAUAUUUAUUAAAUAAUUAAAUUGCUUUUAAAUCAACUUUAUUAUAACCAAAAAAAAAAGUUUGAAAAGAUGAAAAUCCAGUAUGCAAGUUAAUUAUUUUUUACAUCAGUUUUUUUCUACAGUUAAUAAAGUGUAAGGACAAAUAAGCCCUUGAAAAUCAGUUUAAUAACUCUUCUUUUAAAGGCUUUUUUGUCAUUUUAAAGCGAAAAAAAUAACAUGUGGAGAUCUUUUUGCUCUUGAUGAAUCUGAUAAGAUAAAUGGAUCCCAGACUAAAUAGAUCUCAAUAUUUCAGUACAAGGGCAAAUCUGUAAAUCCACCAUUCCAAUGAAUAACCUUGCUCAAGUAUGCGUGAGAUUUAUUUAUUUAUUUUUAAUUUAAUUUAAUUUAAUUUAAAAGGUGAGCAUAACAUGAAAAUUCCAUUUCGACGACGUUAUUUCUAGGUAGCCAUCUUUGACUUUAUACAAAAGAACGAUCCCAUCUUAGAAAAAGCACUGCUCCUUGUUAAAUAUUGAUAGCUAAUUGAAAAUGACAAUUCUCUCUUUAAUGCAAAUGUGUUAUUUAUUUUUGAAUUUUAAAAAUAUUUUUUAAAAAAUUUAUUUUUUUAUGUUUUUAUUUUAAAUUAAUAUUUUUAGAUUAUUUUGAUGUGUCGAUAUUAAAUAUAAUUUUUUAAAAAUAAAAAAUAUUAUUUAAAUAUAUUUUUAAAUACAAAAUACUUCAAAAAACAAUCACAACAAAACUUCAAACACCUAGUCAAUUUAUCAACAACUCUAAUCUUUGAAGGAUGGUCGAAGUGUGCUCUCUGAUUGAGUCUCAAUGCUUAACUCUAAAUUUUUAGUCUACUUUGGGUUUUGAGGAGACGGUAAAGAUGAUAAUAAACAACUAAAUGUAGUUUUAGUAGUAGUAUGUUUGCAUUUUAAAAAAGUUUUUGAUUUUUUUAUUUAAAAUUAAUAAUUUUUUAGUAUUUUGAAUUAUUAUUAUGUGUUGAUAUCAAAAAUAAUUUUUAAAAAAUAAAAAAAUAUUAUUUUUAUAUAUUUUUAAAUAAAAAAUACUAUAAUAUUUUUAAAUAACGUAGUAGACUCAUAAUGGUUAAGAAAGAAGAGCAAGUAACACCUAAUGCGUUGGCGUGGCUCUCGUCCCGUCUCCUAAUGGUAAGAUGCAUACAUAGCACAUAGAUUAUUCAUAUCAUACGCUUAUCCUUAAAUCCGCUCCACUUAUGCAUCUAGCCAUUUAGCUCUCAUCCUUUUUCUUUUCUUUUCUUUUUGGAUUAAGUGGGAUUUGAGUUCUAUAAUUUCAUCAAUUUUAAGAAACAUUGACAAGAUUUAAAAUAAUAUAUUUAAAAAAAAUUAUAGAUGAAUAAGAAAUUAAUCUUAACAAAUUUAAAUAAAAUUAAUUUCAAUUUGAAAGAUUAUAUGCUUUUAUAAUUUAUAUAGUAAGAAGUUUAACGUUUAAAUUGACUUAUAAAGCACAAAAGCUUUUAGACAAGAGAGACUCGAGACAAUGUAGAUUUUGAGCUUAAAUUAAGCGCUCGACAAGGCUUGAGUUAAUUAUGAUUUUUAAUUGAGUAUUUCAAAAUUAUUUUUAGUCCUUGAUUUAUAGUGUAAUAUUUUAAGAUAAUGUUGUUUGAAUCUUGAAUAUUAAGAGUGUUUACAAUAAAGACAACAAAUUUCACAUUUAUAAUAAAUGAUUGAAAUCAUUAAUUUAUAGCAACAUAACCUAUUUAUAGCAACAUAACCUGCUUUCUUUAUUCUUUAGGAAGUAGGUAAAUCUAUUUUGUUUAUAUAAAUUAUUAUUUAUUUGAUGCGAAAGACAUCAAUAAAAAAUUAGCUUGAUCAACCAUAAAUCAACCAUCAUUGAUUGACUUUAAUCAACCAAGAUUGACAACAAUCAACAAUGAUAGAUUGACAAUACAUGCUAAGUUUAAAUAGAAUUUGUUAUGUGUUUCAUAAAUCUAUUAAUUCUUCUAAUUAAGAAAUAUCUGCACAUUAAUAAUCAAACUAUAUAAUUUUAACACAGUUUGAAUACUUCUAGAAGCCCUCCUUACCUUUGGGCUUACAGUUUGUAGGGAGGGUGACUGUUCUAUGGUAACAGCUCACAAGAUACAAGUGGUUGGAAAAAAAUUGCAAAAUGCUACGAUCUUCAAAAUUCUACGGCACCUUCCUCUAUAUAUAUUUCACAUCGAACAAGUCUUAAUGUACAUAUUUACGUAAUCAAUCCUCCAUGAAGCAUUGCUGGUUCAACGACCACUGAGGAUUCAUUCAGAGUCGGACAAGGAAUUGGAAGAAAUUCCACCUGAUGAUAUCGGGAUUGUUAAAACUUGCCUGGAAUCAUGGGAUACUUUCUUGAUUGCGACUUGCAUAUUGGAAGAUUGUUGUUGUUAUUGGGACGAUUGUGCAGGCACCACACCUCAUCUUACGCCUCUUUUAUGGACAUGACAAAUGCAGGUGAGCCAUAAAUGCCUUUCCCUUAAUAGAAGAAUGUAGUAGCAGUGCAAAACCCUAUCUCACUGCCAUCUAAACCAGUCGUUGGCAAAUUCAACAGCAUUGAAGCAUCUAGAAGCUUCGAUGUCGAAGGAAGAGGACCUGAAACAAAAAUAGAGGUAAAACCUUGGAUCAUGAAGUGAAAAGCCCACGACUCAAAAUCUCUUCUUUUGUUUGAAACUGAAAGACCUCCUGCCUUCUCUUUUCUUGUCUUCUUCGGCUUUGCAACUUGCGGUUCGAUUUGAGGUUUUAGUUCUUGAGAAUGCGUCGCGAAAGAGAUAAUAAAAUGGAUCUUAUGGCCUACAAAUAAACAAGGGGUCUUGGAGGCGAUGAUGGAAGAAUGGGCCAUGAUUUGGUACUAAAACGGAAUUUUGCAUUUUGAAUGAGAAUUAGAGCCCUAAUGAUGAUUGUUCUGAUGAUGUGUGCAUAUUAGCAUUUUGUUAAUUUGAUGCAUCCAAUUUUUAGUUAAAUAAAAUAUAAUUACAACUUAUAAUACUUUAAUUUUUGUAUUAAUUUGAAGUAUUAUAAACUUAUAAAAUUUAGGGUAACUUUUUAAAUUUUUUACAUAAUCCAAUCCAGUAACUCGGGUAAAAUUAAGGAAAUCCAAACCCAUUUUCAGUUUUAACCCAGUAAUUUUUACUUAAGCUACAACACUUAAGAAUUAGUAAUUACUAGUUAGGUGGCUCGUGUUAUGUCGCAGACUCACCUAUUAUUUUAAUAAAAAAAUAUCAUAAAAAUCUAAGACCUAAAAUGUUAGGUGUGGCUGUAACAUUGGAUCCAAGAGCGUUGAGUUUGAUUGCAAUGCAAAACACAACAACAACAACAACAACAACAAUAAUAAUAUAAAAAAAUAUAUUUAGAAACCUAAGACUCAAGAACCUUAGGUUCUGAUGUAGGACCCAAGAGCUUUGGUCUUGACAUAGCCCAAGAAAAUUGGGUUGUGACUCAAAACCUAGGACCCAUUAGCCUUGAAUCCUGACGUAGAACCCAAUAGAUUGAGUUCUGACAAGAGACCAAUAAUAUUGGGUCUGGCGGGGCUCCAGACCCAAGGGAUUUGGGUCUGUUCCAUAGCCACACCCAAGGGAUUCACGAGAGACCAAUAAUAUUAUGUCAGACGGGGCUCCAAACCCAAGGUAUUUAGGUCUACUCUAUAGCCACACCCAAGGGAGCUUGGGUGUGGCCCCCUUUUCCUGCUCCAAAAUUCUUGGGUCUGGAAAAGAUUGCUUGAACCAAGAGAAAACAAAAAAAAUGAAAAACAAAUUAUUGAUGGGUUUUGCUAUGGAUAGGACUCAUGCUGAUGGGUCCUGCUCGCAACAGGAGCUGAGGCUGAUGGGUCCAGCGACGGUUGGAUCCAAAGCUAUUUUGAGUCCUUCUUAGAGCAGGACCCAACUUAAUAUAUUUUUUUUGGGUGUGGCUGCACAACAAGACUCAUUCUCAAAAUAUUUAAAAAUAAAAUUAAAAAAUACAAAAACAUCAAAUAUUAAUUUGACAUAAAAAACAAUAAAAAAUUUCAGAUUUUUUUCAAAGCUUUUUUAAACGCAAAACUAAACAUGCUUUAAUAAGAAAAUUCAACCCAACUUGAAAUGAAAUUUUUUUUUUAUAUCAUCACCCAACUUUUGUAUAAUAUAAAAAAGUCACAUUAAUUUAUUUCCUCUUUAGUAUGAAAAAAAAUCAAUAAGAGAAAAGAAAAAAAAUUUCAAGAGUGAAAAAAGUAAAAUUGGAAAUAUCUUAAAAUAUAUUUUUUAUUUUUUUAAAAUAUUGUGAUAAUAUUUUUUUUAUUUUUUUAAAUCUAUUUUAUAUAUAAUCACAUCAAAAUAAUAAAAAAACAUCUUAAUAUGAAUUAAAGGAAAAAAAAUAUUAAUUUGAAGUAAAGAAAAAAAUAAAAAAUUGUCAAUUUUUUUUCAAAGCAUUUUUAAAAACCAAAACCAAAACCAAACAUGCUUUAAUAAAGGAAAUUCAACCCCACUUGAAAUGAAAAUAAAUUACCAUCACCCAAUUUUUGCAUAUUAUAAAAAAAAGUCACAUUAAUUUAUUUCCUUUUAUAUUUUUCAAUCUUAAAAAAACGUUUAUGUUUUUCUUUGAUGAAAGUAAUAAUUGUUUUUUAAAAUCUGGUAAUGACAAUAACAACAAUAACAAUAGUAGUAAUAAUUCUUAAUUUUACCAUUCAAAUCAAAUCUAUUAUUGUUUUUCAAUGUUAAUAAUAUUUUCUACAAAUUUAUUAAUUAUUACAUGAAUUAUAUUAAUUAUAAUAAAAUAUAAAUUUAUAAUAAAAAUCAUAGUAUUUUAAUAUUAGUUAUAAAAUAUCAUAAUAUUUAUAUCACAAAUAAUAAUAUUUUUUACUAAUACUUUUAAUUAUAAUAAAAAUGAUGAUGAAGAUAAUGAUAAUUAAUUUUACACUUCAAAUCAAAUCUAUAGUUGUUUUUCAAUAUUAAUAAUUUUUUUCAAAUUUAUUAGUUUUUUUUAUUAAUAAUAUUAAAUAUACUAAAAAUAAUAAUAUUUAUAAUAUGAAUAAUUAUAUUUAGAAAUCUAAGAUCCAAGAUCAUGGGUCCUGAUGCCGGACCCAUUAGCCUUGGGUCCCGACGUCAGACCCAUGAGUCUUGGGUUUUAACACAACCCAAGGGAACUAAGUCCUGAUGCACAACCUAAUAACAUUGCGUUCUGAUAGAAGAUUUAUUAGCCUUGGUUCCCGAUGCUUGACCCAUUAUUAGCCUUAAAUCCUGAUGCACGAUCCAAGUGCAUUAGGUCAUGACAAAGGACCAAUAAUCUAGGGUCAGGCCGGUCUUUAAGACCCAAGGAAUUUGGGUAUGUGCUAGCCACACCUAAGCUCCUUGGGUGAGGCGUCGUUUUCUACCCAAUUUUUUGGGCCUGGAAGAGAAUGUCUGACCCAAGAGGAAAGGAAAGAAAUGAAAACAAUUAUUGAUGUGUCUUGCUAAGAGUGGGACCCAACGCUAAUGGAUCCUGUUAGGGACAAGACCCAAAGCUAUUUUGACUCCUUCUUGGGGCAGGACUCAACUUAAUAUAUUCUCUUGGGUGUGGCUUCGCAACUAAACUCAAUCUCAAUAUAUUUAAAAACAAAUUAAAAACAAUUAUCAUCACCUAACUUUUGUAUAUAUAAAAAAGUCACAUUAAUUUAUUUUCUCUUUACAAUAUGAAAAAAAAUCAAUACAAGAAAAAAAAAUUCAAGAGGGAAAAAAUAAAAUUGGGAAUAUCUUAAAAUAUAUAUAUUUUUAAAAUAUUGAGAUAAUAUUUUUUUUUUACUUAAAUCUAUUUUUAUAUAAUCAAUAAAAUACAAAAACAUCUUAAUAUGAAUUAAAGGAAAAAAAAUUAAUUUGAAGUGAAGAAAAAAAUUAAAAAUUGUCAAUUUUUUAAAACAUUUUUGAAAACCAAAACCAAACAUGUUUUAAUAAGAAAUUCAACCCUUUCUGAAAUGAUAACUAAUAAAUAAUAAUAUAUUUGUAAGACCGAUAUAAAAAAAAUUCUGAAUUUUGACGAAAAAUUACAACCGGCUAAUUUUACGUUGUAACACAACUUUCAACCUGGUCAUCAGAUUAAGUUGAAAUUUUGCAUGGAGUCUUAUAAAUAUUUAACCUAGGUUCAAAUUUAAGAAUUUUUGGAGUAUGAUAAGAAAUUGUUUCAGAUAAAAGAACAAAUGGCACAAAUGAUUGUCUAGAAAUUCCUUAGGGACCAAAUUGAGACUUUGCCCAAAACCAUCCUCUUUACAAGCUGCCAGCAAUUAAAAAAAAGAAAAGGAAAGAGGGAAUGUGCAGCCGGCCAAGGGAAGAAAUGAGAAAAAGAGGGUUUGUGUUAUUUUUUCAUGAAAUUGCUUGAAAAAUCAAAAAAACAAAGUGUAAGAUAGAAAGAGUGUUAAGUAAUUAAAGAGAGGGUUGAUACAUUAAGGAGACUACAAGGAGUUUGAAGAUUUUAGGAGUGGUUUUUAGAGAAAGAAAGAAAAAAUUGAGCUUAGAGGGAAGUGUGAAGGAAAAGAACUUGUUUUGGCUUUGAUUCUUCAUUCCUUAAGGGUAAGAAAACUCUCCAUGAUGGUCCAUUUUAUUGUUUUUCAUGUUUGUUAUUAGAUUGAGUAGAAUUGGUAUUAUGUGAAGGUGGGUUCUUGAUGUUAUGAUGGUUUGAAUGCAUGGAUUUAUGUAAAUUACAUGUUUAAUGAAGGAAUAAAUGUUUGGGCUUGUCAUUAAUUAGGUUAAUUUAAAAAAAAAAAUUUCUUCCUCUUAGUAUUUGGAAUUUCGGCCAAGGGUGUUUUUUUGGGGUGAUUAGGUUGUUGAAUUAAUAACAAACAAAUUAUAUUUAGUUAUGAUAAUUGAGUAUUUGGUGAUUGAAGAAUGGAUAAUAAGAAUAAUUAAUAUGGUUUCCACCUUGGGUAAGCUAGUGAUUCCUUGUUAUGUUAUAAGUAAAUAUGAUAUUUGUGUUGAUUAGUGAAAUUUCAUAAAUGGAUGCUUAGUUAUUGUUAUGUGUGAUUAUGGAACUAUUAGAAAGGUGAAUUUGGCCAUGAAAAAUAUAAGAAAUAAAUUUCAAGCUUGAAGAGAUUAAUGAAUUGUAUUUAAAUAGUGGAAGAAAAAUAAAAAUGAAAUGAUGUGUUGAAUUAGGUGUAACUGAAUUAAAUUUCCUUUGAUUGUAGAGAAAAGUUUUAUAGUGAUAUAAAAUUUCCUUAUAAUUGUGGUGAAUUAAAAGUUUAGGUGGAUGUGUAUUGUAUGAAUUAAUUGUGGAAUUAUUAAAGAACAUGCAAUAGUUUCGAAUGUUAAAAUUAUAUUGAUCGAAAUCUUAUUAUGUGAUAAAGUUUUAAGAAAAUUAUUCGGUGAUGAAAUAUUGAAAUCAUAAGAUCUUUCGAAUGAAACAAGAGAGGUGGGAGGCUCCAGACAGCAGCAGGUAGUUACUAGUCAAGUAUCACCAGCAGGUAGGUAUCUAACAUCUUGAAUUUUUAUAGAUAGAUUAAUUGAAAAACUAGUGUUAAUUUUUAAUUAGAAAUUCUGUAGUUUAUGUUUGAUGUUAACAGAUGAAUUAAUGCCCGGUAAUUGGGUGGAUAAAUUAGUACCGGUAUUUGGGCGGAUAAAUUAAUGCCCGGUAAUUGAGCGUGAAUUAAUGCCCGGUAAUUGGGCGGAUAAAUUAGUACCGGUAUUUGGGCGGAUGAAUUAAUGCCCGGUAAUUGAGUAUGAAUUUAUGCCCGGUAAUUGGGCGGAUAAAUUAGUACCGGUAAUUGGGUUAAUGCCCGGUAAUUGAGCGUGAAUUAAUGCCCGGUAAUUGGGUGGAUAAUCUAGUACCGGUAAUUGAGCGGAUAAAUUAGUACUGGUACUUAAGUGAAUAAAUUAGUGUCCCUGAUGAGGGAGCAAUAUUCCGUGAAACGGCUAAGAUUGGAAUUUAAUGAAAUGAAUAUGGAGGUGUAAGAUAUUAAUGUUUCAUAAUAAAGUAUAUAGAAAAAUAUAUAUAGUUAUAUUUGCAUGGGUAUAGUGAAAUGAUACAUUGCAUUUAUUGAUAAAAUGUUAAUCUUUUUUUUUCAGGACCCUCGCACAGUAGAAUAGAUUUUGCUUGAAUACAUGUUACUUUUGUGUAUUUAUUUUGAUCAACAUGUAUUUUGAGAAUUAUGAAUGAUGUAAAAGAGUUUGAAUGAACCUUUAUAUUUGUAUAACAAACUUUUAUAUGUAAUUAAUGUGUAUGCCAUACUUAAGAAUAUCUUUAUGUUCAAUUAAGUAUUUGUAUUCUAUCAUAGUUGUUCAUUGAUUAGGAAUGUUGGGAUGAUUAAAUAAUGGGGGUGUUACAUUCAUAACCUAAAUUUUUACUAUUUUUUAUAUAAUUAUUAUUAAUUGCAUCUUGAUUAUUGGACAAUACCUGUUUAUUUUUAUUGUGAUGCAUUGUUUGGGAAAGAGGUCCAAGAUGAUUGGAUCAUGAUUAUGAUAUGAGUUGUGACAGGAAUGAAGAUGUCGAUAACUUGGUAUAGUCUCGUUACAAGGAAAACUCUGCCGAUUUUUUUAGAAAAAAAAAAAUUUACACAGCAUAAAAUUUUACACUUUUAAAUAAUAAUAAUAAUUAUUAUUAUUGGGUUGUGACAUUUUGGUAUCAGAGCCAUUUUGAUAUCCUGAUUUAGGUUUAGGAUGUGGAAUAAGAUUUUGAUAGUUAAUGAAUAAUUGUAGGAUGGUUACCACACCAGGGAGCUAGGACUGAACCAUCCCUAGGACGGGGUAAAGGUCAGGAUUUACAGACAGAUGCUGGACAAGGGGAGGAUCCCCUGGCAGAUACUACAUUCUGCACCAGUGAUACAGGUGUCAGGAUUUCAGGGUAUACCGAUAGGAACUGUACCGUUAGAGGGCCAAGGUCAGGGUCAAAGAGUAAUUCCUCCACGUGCCAGAGAUAGUGCCUACUAUCAAUACCUCAUCCACCAGUAACAGUGCCUACUAUUGUCCCAUCACCAUAUGCUGAUCCAGGGUUUUUAGCCCAGAUUGUUAGGGCUGUUAUUGAAAACAUGUCCCAUGUAGCAGCUUCAGCAGCCCCUGUGCCACAGACCACUCCGAUGGCAACGACAUCUACUGACAGUGUUGUUACUGGGAACCGCGAGCGGGUUUGUAGACCCGCUUGCUUGGGUCUACAUCCAUCCCUGGGUAUACAGCCUUUGCACGUGAUUCUGCAAACCUUGGGGCACGGGUGUGCAAACCCGCUCGCCUGGGUCUGCAGUAGCGGGCGUGGCCCAGUCUUAGCGCCAUGUAUUUGCAGCAUGGGGCCUGUAGUUCCACUUGGCGCGAUAGUGCCCAGGGCUUGCCAGCCCAAGCGCCAGGUGUUUGUAGCACGGGAGCUACAACCUCACCAAAACUGUAAUUGACAUAGGGGUGCGGGUCUGCAGCCUAACCAAAAUUGUAGUUGACCCAGGGGAGCGGGUCUGCAGCCUUACCAUGCGUCACCAAAUAGUACAAUCUAUAGUGAAAUCACUCAUAAUCUAUAGUAAUUACCGCUACUAUGCCAAACAAUAUAAUUCAUAAUAAAAGCACUCACAAACCAUAACAAGUUUCGCUGCAGGAAAACAUUAAUUUUAGCCCAUAAUAGGCCAAAGAAAAGCACAGGCUUCUCAAUUGGUUAUUAUUAUUAUUAUUAAAACCUAAUGCUUGCUUUAAGCAAGUUUUGGUCCCAUUUAAGGCGGCUAUUGUUUUUGUGGUGUGAUUUGUUUUUUAAAUGUUUGUUAAACUAAUUUUUUUAGAUUUUGUUUAUAUAAUUUUGAUGUAUUGAUAUAAAAAAGUAUAUAUUUUAAAUUAAAAAUACUUUUGAAAAAUAAUACACUACUCAACAUACACUUAAAAAGAGGACAUACACACGUUCUUUCCUUCAACGUGUAAUUUUUGUGGCACACAACUUUUAGAUAGAAAGAGAAAGAGGAAGUUGAAAGAAGUAUCUAUAAAUUUAAUCUUUAAAAGAUAAAUUAUCAAUAAAUCUUAUUGUGCUAAUUCUUAAGAUCAGUAAAUUUAUUUUUAUAGCUCAUCAUCCAAGAAAGUUCAAAUUUAAUUGUGCUUCAUAUAUUUAAAAAUUACCUCUAAUUAUUUUUUCUUUCAAAAAAUAUUCAUAAUAUCUUUUUUGAAUGUAUGUUUUUCUCAUUUAUAAAACAAUUUAUAAUUAUAAUCUAUUCUUUUUUUAUACUACCAUUAUUAUAAAUUAUUCAAAAUGAAAUUAUGAUUGUAAAAAUAAAAAAAAUAUAAAUUUUCAGAUAUGUAAUUUAAUUUUUAUAAAUAAAAAACUGAAAUAUCUUUAAGCAUAAUGACACGCUUCAAAAAAUUUCAAAGAAUUAUGACAAUUGACAAGAAUAAAAUUUUAUGAUAAUACAUAUUUAAUUUUAAAAAUUUAGAGAAAAAUUAUAAACAGAAUACAUAAUAAAACUUGUCAUUUAAAAAGAAUAAAAAAUAGAAAAACAAAAUAAUCAAAACCAUAGACACAAUUAAUAAAGAUGGGUAGUGGGCAUUCAUGACAAGGCGGAGCUCUGCCAAGAAGGUAUUUGAAAAUAAUAGAGGUUCCUUUAUACAAUAUUUUUUAAUUAAAAAUAUACUAAAAUAAUAUAUUUUUUAUUUUUUUAAAAAUAAUUUAUAAUAAUAGAACAUCAAAAUAAUCCAAAACAUUAAAAAAAAAUUUAAAUAAAUUUUUUUUAAAAAAUACAUUUCCAAAUGCUAUCUAAAUAUUCAACAUUCACGACCAAAGAGCAGGGCAUAGGUGAUUUCAAUUUUAUCAUGGUCAAGUUCUUAUUUUCCUCAUCAAGCACACACCAUUGAGACGGCAUGUAUUGGAUUCCAUAUGCUGCUAUUCGCAUCUCUUCAUCACCUUUUCCAGAUAAAUCCAUGAAAAUUUUGAUUGUUCAUCGUACCGAAAGAGUCCCCAAUGUCUCUCGAAAUGUCCUGGUGCAAUGCUCUUCUGAUUCUUCGAUUAGGCCAAAGAGAUACACAUCCAAUUAACCUCGUCGGACAGGGGUUCCCAUCGUUAAGGAGACCGUGAUGGAACGUUUCAGCUAAUUUGGUGUCGGCAUUGAUGUUACCAUGCAUCUGUAGGCCAGCCAACUUGUCCCAUUAUGAUCUUCAAAUCGCCAGCACUGUUACCAUCUGUAGGCCAAAGAGCUUUAAUUUGACGAAGAAACUUCACAGUGCGAAUCGUGACAUCCUUUAUGUUGUUACGGGUAUUGCCAUCAGGUGGUUUGUUGGAAGAUGAUUCAUGAACAUCAGCAUUAAGGGCUGCUGUAGCUUUUGAUUUUGUCUCCGACUCCAUCAUUGUCCUAAGCCUUAUGUUUAGGAAUCCUGUUAGAGAUAUAUUAGAAUGAAUAACUUAUACAUGAGUUCCCUACUGUAAUAGGACAAUGAAUUCCGAGGAACUGUUGGAUUCCUAGUAGAUGAGAAUAACUGUAUAUACUCUUGUAUAAAUAUACGAUGCAAUCAAUAAUAGUUCCCAUUCAGCAAGUUCUAUUUCUUCUCUUAUUAAUUUACAUGGUAUUCAGAGCUGGACUAAUUAUUCUGUAUCAAUAUUUUCAUCAAUUCUCUGUUUCGCUCCCCCUUCCACAUCAAUCUUUCAUCUUCUCUGUUUCCAUCCUUUAAACCCAGAAAACACAAAACCUUCAGAGCAUGGAUUUUACAAAAGCAAAUCUCUCAAACCCCUUCUUUACUCAUCAUUCAGAUCAUCGUGGACUAAUUUUAAUCUCAAAGCCCUUAAAUGGAGAUAACUACUCUAUGUGGAAAAGAGCAAUGACAUUGGCCUUAAACUCCAAAACCAAAUUGGGCUUUGUCAAUGGCUCGAUCAGAGCUCCCUCAGAAGACAAUGAUCCUAAAGAACAUGCAGCCUGGUCCCGGUGCAAUGACAUGGUUCAUUCUUGGAUUAUUAACACCCUUAAUCUAGAAAUCUCAGAUAGUGUGAUAUAUUAUUCAACUGCUCAUGAAGUUUGGGAAGACCUUCAUGAGCGAUUUUCUCAAAGCAAUGCGCCUCGCAUCUUUGAAAUUUAGCGCGACAUUGCUUGCCUUCGACAAGAGCAGCUAUCAGUUUCUACCUAUUACACAAAAUUGAAGGGGUUGUGGGAUGAACUAGCCUCCUACAAUGACACUGUACAUUGAACGCAGCAAGAACAACAAAAAUUGACGCAGUUUUUGAUGGGAUUAAAUGAAUCUUAUAAUGCCAUACGCGGACAAAUCCUCCUAAUGAAUCCUCUUCCUUCAGUGUGCCAAGCAUAUUCCUCCAUCUCACAAGAAGAAAAACAAUGCCUCCUAAGCUCAAUGUAUACGGGAGGUGAUGAUCCCAGUGGCAGUGCUGCCAUGGCAGUUCGUAAUAGCAACAAUCGAUCAACUGAACAUCUCAGUGCAGGAUUGGGGAGAUUAGAGCGCUUCGACAACUCAUAUAACCCACAAGGAUUCAGGUCACAAGAGAAAUCGACAGGGAAUUUCAGUGGAGAACGACGAUUUUAACAAGAUAGACGACGCCCCAACCUUUGGCAGAGGGCGUCCUUAUUGUACACACUAUGAAGAAGCGGGUCAUUGGGUGCAAACAUGCUAUCAAUUACAUGGGUAUCCAGCGGGUCAUCCAAAGACAAAAUAUGGGUCAGGAUCAAAACGUUUCAAUAACAAUAAACACAUAGCCAAUCAUGUGUCCACAGCCGAAAAUGAGCAACCAGUUAUCGGUAUUUCACAGGAUCAAUUAAAACAGGUUUUGUCACUCCUAGACAAUAAAACUGAAGGUUCUAGUCCUCAUGCGAAUGCCGUAACUAAACCAGGUUUGUCUAAAGUUACUUCCCGCAAUUGGAUCAUCGAUAACGGCGCAACAGAUCAUAUAUCUUCUAAAUUAUUCACUGAGAAGCACACCAAAUGUUCAUUACCACCGGUACUAAUGCCUAGUGGAGAAAAGGCUGACAUUGUGGCAAAGGGAUCUUUACCCAUUAAUUCUGUCUAUUAUUUACACAAUGUGUUGUGUGUCCCUACAUUCAAAGUAGACUUGUUAUCUGUCAGUCGCUUGACAAGAGACCUUAAUUGCUCAAUAAUCUUCUUUCCUUAUUGGUGUCUAUUGCAGGAUCUGGCUACGAGGAGGAUGAUUGGUUUGGGUAAACAACAUAACGGACUUUACUAUUUGGUGGCUUUGGCAACGAAGCAACAUACGUCUCAACAAACCUCCACCAUCAAUCAACCAACCUGCAAUCUCAUCACCUUAUCCACCAACCUUUGGCAUAAUCGCUUAGGCAAUACAUCACCUUCUCGUUUACGCUUCAUUGCUCAAAAUUUUUAAAAUUUUUCCAUUUAGUCCAAUAAUACUUGUCAUGUAUGUCCUUUGGCAAAACAGAGUCGUCUACCUUUCCAUUCUAGUGUAAUUUCUUCUAUAAAACCUUUUGCAUUAAUUCAUUGUGACAUUUGGGGUCCUUAUCGACACCCUUCCAUUUCUGGUGCUCGUUUUUUUCUCACUAUUGUUGAUGAUUUCUCACGUUUCACAUGGAUUUUCUUAAUGAGACAUAAAAGUGAGACGCAAUCCAUUCUAAAUUUUUUUUUUCCAUUACGUUAUCACUCAAUUUGAAGCUCAUAUUAAAAUUUUUCGAAGUGAUAACGGGGGAGAAUUUAUAUCACUUCGCACUUUUUUUCACAAUAAUGGUGUCAUUUUCCAACGUUCUUGUGUUUACACACCUCAACAAAAUGGGGUUGUGGAACGCAAACAUUGUCACAUCCUACAAGUAGCUCGAGCUUUAAGAUUUCAAGCUCACCUCCCCACCCAAUUUUGGGGGGAAUGUGCCCUAACUGCUACUCACAUCAUUAAUCGCUUUCCAUCUCCUGUCCUCUCCUUCAAAACCCCUUUUGAACUUCUCUUUUCCAAAUCACCUUCCUUUUCUCAUCUUCGUGUCUUCGGUUGUUUGGCUUAUGCUACCAAUGUUCGCAUUGCUCAUAAAUUUGCUCCUCGUUCCAUCCCUUCUGUUUUUCUUGGGUAUCCUCCCGGUCAAAAAGCUUAUAAAUUGUUUGAUUUAUCAAACAAAAUUUUUUUUACUAGCCGCGAUGUCAUAUUUCAUGAAAAUAUUUUUCCUUAUGCAUUUACCCAUCACCCUCCUUCCUCUCCACCUUACAUUCCUGGACCCAUUCCCCUAAUCCAUACCGACACCACCUCCUUUCCCUUUCCACCAUCCUCUUCACCACAACCACCCAUGCCUACCCAAAUUCCCUUUCAACAACACACUCUUCCCCACCUCCCACCACUCUACGCACCUACACACGCCGCCCCAAACCCAAUACCCUUGACACUGAUCCCAUUGAUUGCUCCAACACACCUUCCACCACCAUUUCGGCUCAAACACCACCCUCCACUACUUUACCCUCUUUGGAACCAGGUUCCAUUGCGCCAACCCCACUCUCUUUAGACAUCAGCCCACCAAACACACCUACACCCACCCCGCUUCGCCGAUCCAUCCGCCAUACUGGCCCUCCAGUCAAGCUUCGUGAUUAUGUCUGCUCACAUGUUUUCUCCGGCCAAUCACCCUCCUCCCCACCAGGUCUGAACAAAGGUACUCGUUAUCCAUUAUCCAAUUAUGUUUCCUAUCACAUAUAUACAUCUCCACAUCAUUCAUUUAUUGCUAAAAUUAGCCAUACCGUGGAACCAAAAUCCUAUUCAAAAGCAGCUGCUCAUCCUCAGUGGCAGGCCGCCAUGCUCUCUGAACUACAAGCUCUUCAGCAGAAUGGUACUUGGUCACUCACUUCUCUUCCACAAGGUAAAACUUUGAUUGGUUGUCUGAUGGCUCUGUGGAGAGAUACAAAGCCCGUUUGUUGGCUAAGGGUUUCACCCGACUUGAGGGUAUCGACUAUCAGGACACUUUCUCCCCAACUGCCAAAAUUGUUUCUGUCCGUUGCUUGCUUUCUCUGGCUGCAGCUCGCGGUUGGACCCUCCACCAAUUGGAUGUUCACAACGCCUUUCUCCAUGGUGAAUUAUCAGAGGAGAUUUAUAUGUCUCCGCCGCCAGGGCUUCUUCGACAGGGGGAGGAAGACUUGGUAUGCCAUCUCCAUAAGUCCUUAUACGGGUUGAAACAAGCAUCACGCCAAUGGUUCACCAAGUUCUCUGAAGCCAUUUGCUCUGCUGGAUUCAAACAAUCUCAAGCCGACCACUCUCUAUUCACCAGACAACGAGAUAAGUCCUUCACUGCCCUUUUAAUAUAUGUUGAUGACAUUUUGAUUACUGGAAAUGAUCCCGACAGUAUCGCUAUGACAAAGAAAUUUCUGCAUAGCCAUUUCCACCUUAAGGAUCUUGGCCCCUUAAAAUACUUCCUUGGUAUAGAGUUCUUAGCUUCUAAGAACGGCAUUUUCAUUUCUCAAUGUAAAUAUGCAUUGGAAAUUAUUGAGGAUGCAUGAUUGUUGGGUGCGGCCCCUAUUGAUACACCUAUGGAACGUGGCUUAAAAUUAUCGGACAAGAGCGACUUGCUCAAAGAUCCGAGUCGUUUUAGAAGAUUGGUUGGUAGAUUGAUUUAUUUGACUGUUUCAAGACCAGAUAUCACUUAUGUUGUGCAUGUUCUAAGCAAUUUAUGCACCAACCCGGAAGCUUCAUAUGGAAGCUGCUCUUCGGGUCAUCCGAUAUCUGAAAGGGGCACCUGGUCAAGGGUUAUUCUUUCCUUCACACACUAAUUACAAAUUAAAAGCCUAUUCAGACUCAGAUUGGGCAGGUUGCCCACUGACUCGGAGGUCUACCACCGAUUAUUGUGUGUUCCUUGGACCCUCAUUGAUAUCCUGGAGAUCAAAACGACAGAAAACAGUCUCACUAUCCUCUGUAGAGGCAGAGUAUCAUGCAAUGACAAGAGCAUGUUAUGAGUUAACAUGGCUCCGAUGUCUGUUGAGGGAUUUAGGCCUUUUACAUCAUGAACCUGCGUUGCUAUAUUGUGAUAACAAGGCUGCAUUACACAUUGCAGCCAACCCAGUCUUUCAUGAGCGCACCCGACAUUUUGAGAUGGACUGUCACUAUAUCAGAGACAAAAUUCAAGAUGGUUUUGUGAUAACAAGAUAUGUUCAUUCUGAACAUCAAUUGGCAGACAUCUUCACCAAACCCUUUGAAAAAGAUGUCUUCAUUCCUAUGAUUCACAAGUUGGGAGUGCAAGACAUCCACUCUCCAACUUGAGGGGGAGUGUUAGGAAUCCUGUUAGAGAUAUAUUAGGAAUGAAUAACUUAUACAUGAGUUCCCUGGGACAAUGAAUUCCGAGGAAGUGUUGGAUUCCUAGUAAAUGAGAAUAACUGUAUAUACUCUUGUAUAAAUAUACAAUGCAAUCAAUAAUAAUUCUCAUUCCAGCAAGUUCUAUUCUUCUCUUAUCAAUUUACAUUAUGCACGUCUAGAAAUGGUGGAAACGUAAACGUAACAUUGUCGCAAGUGCUCUUAAAAACAUUUAUAAUUAUAAUCUAUUCUUUUUUUAUACUACCAUUAUUAUAAAUUAUUCAAAUGAAAUUAUGAUUGUAAAAAUAAAAAAAAAUAUAAAUUUUCAUAUAUGUAAUUUAAUUUUUAUAAAUAAAAAAUUUAAAUAUCUUUAAGCAUAAUGACACGCUUCAAAAUAUUUCAAAGAAUUAUGACAAUUGACAAGAAUAAAAUUUUAUGAUAAUAAAUAUUUAAUUUUAAAAAUUUGAAGAAAAAUAUAAAAAGAAAACAUAAUGGAACUUGUCAAGAAUAAAAAAUAGAAAAACAAUAUAAUCAAAACCAUAGACACAAUUAAUAAAGAUGGGUAGUGGGCAUGCAUGACAAGGCGGAGCUCUGCCAAGAAGGUAUUUGAAAAUAAUAAAGGUUGUUUUACAAAAUAUUUUUUAAUUAAAAAUAUAUUAAAAUAAUAUAUUUUUUAAUUUUUUUAAAAAUAAUUUAUAAUAAUAGAACAUCAAAAUAAUUCAAAACAUUAAAAAAUUAUUUUAAAUAAUAAAAAUUAAAAAAAAAUACAUUUCCAAAUGCUAUCUAAAUAUUCAACAUUCACGACCAAAGAGCAGGGCAUAGGUGAUUUCAAUUUUAUCAUGGUCAAGUUCUUAUUUUCCUCAUCAAGCACAUACCAUUGAGAUGGCAUGUAUUGGACUCCAUAUGCUGCUAUGAGCAUCUCUUCAUCACCUUUUCCAGAUAAAUCCAUGAAAAUUUUGAAUGUUCAUCGUACCGAAAGAGUCCCCAAUGUCUCUCGAAAUGUCCUGGUGCAAUGCUCUUCUGAUUCUUCGAUUAGGCCAAAGAGAUACACAUCCAAUUAACCUCGUCGGACAGGGGUUCCCUUCUUUAAGGAGACCGUCAUGGAACGUUUUAGCUAAUUUGGUGUCGGCAUUGAUGUUACCAUCUGUAGGCCAGCCAACUUGUCCCAUUAUGAUCUUCAAAUCGCCAGCACUGUUACCAUCUGCAGGCCAAAGAGCUUUAAUUUGACGAAGAAACUUCACAGUGCGAAUCGUGACAUCCUUUAUGUUGUUACGGAUAUUGCCAUCAGGUGGUUUGUUGGAAGAUGAUUCAUGAACAUCAGCAUUAAGGGCUGCUGUAGCUUUGAAUUUGUCUCCGACUCCAUCAUUGUCCUAAGCCUUAUGAACGUCUAGAAAUGGACGUAACAUUAUCGCAAGUGCUUUUAAAACUUGACAAGAAAGGCUCGUUCCCAACAGUCGAAGAGGGGUUAUUGGAAGAUGAUUUGUAAACUUCAGCACUGAGGGCUACUGUAGCUUUGCAUUUGUCUCCGACUUCAACCUUGUCCAAAGCCUUUUGAACGUUUUGCCAAAACUAGCAAUCAGCUGGCGUUUCUUUUAUUAAAAUUCUUUAGUAGUUUUAAAUAGUUUGUUUAAGCAUUUGAUACUAGCAAAAGGGAAAAGAUGGAAUGGGUGGCUUAUCCACGUUGCUGGAACCUCACAAGAUACUACCAAGAAUCUUGGAACUGUUUAAAAGAUUGUGGUUCAAGCUAUUCAUGAGCUCUAUUCAUGAGCUUUGCCUAUCAUCCUCAAUCAGAUGAGCAAUCUGAAAGAGUUAAUCAAUGAACAGAGAAAUACCUAAGAUGUAUGAACACAUCAGUACCAGUAAUUCUCACUUUGAUGGCUAUCCUGCAUCUGUAUCAAGUUCCUUUUGUUUUUGUUUUUUUUUUUUGUCGUAUUUUUCGGGGAGGCUAAUGUCUGUUAAAUCUUUUCACAGCAAGUGAACGUACCCUGUCCCAAGAGGUUGCGCUGCCUCAUCUGCAACAAGCUGUGACCCAAUAACCAGGAGAAAUGAUGGAAGCUUUUUGAUCAGACAUAUCUAGCCAUUUCAUUAGGUAAUUGGGUAUCUACACUCUUUCUGAAAGCAGGGUUAUUAAUAUUGCUGCCUUCUUAUUGCAAAUUUUGUUGCAAUGUUUCUUCUACUUUUUCUUGGCUGGUGUUUUAAUCCCUUUUCAGCCUACAAAGCUGCUGUCUAUAUCUUCUAUCGUCCUUGAACGUGGUUUUUGCAAUCUUGACUGUUUGUAGAAAGAUUAAAACAGUUAUAUGUGUGUAUAACAUCAGCAUCAGAUACAUUAUCACCAUUUUUUUUAUUCCACUACUAGUCUGUGAAUAAACCACCCGGCCAGCAGCCAUAUCACACUGAACUGCACUCUAGUUAGGAUAAUCGAUGAUACUGGGUGUUGGAUUUUCUGUAUUUUAGAAAGUUGACUGAAGCCUAUGCUUUCUGCAGAUCACUAUAUCAGAAGUCAGAAUAGUUCAAUAUGUAAUUAGCCUCCCAUGUAAAAACGAGGCAGGCAUAAGUGAUUAAUCAUUUUAGUCCAUAACAGAAGUAAGUGGAGAGUUUUAUAAAAAACGGAACAAGGACUAAAUGAAUGGAGAAGGAAGAUCUGUGAAACUGAUUCUAACUAGUUUGGGAAUGCGGCAUGUUCGAGUUGAAAUGUGGGGUGGGGUUAGAGCACGGAGGAGAAUGGAAGAAGCUACACGGCCAUCAUUGACCAGCAUUGUUUCAUCAAACAUUUUACUAUUUCAACCAUGUGUUUUGCUUAAAUCAUAAAUUAUACCUAUGUUUCUAUGCUAAUUAAUUAACCCCUCUUGGAGUAGUCUUUGUGGUGCUUUGAGGAUUACUAUGGUAUGCACAAACCUUCUAAGUAUUCCGAUCUACCUUCCUCUUCACCACUAAUAUCAAGCUUGCCACAUGCCAGCUGUUAGUCUUGAGGUUAAAUAAUUUUUACAUCGUUAAGCCAUGAUUCUGUCACAAUUAUCAGAUUUCAAUGUAAAGUUGUUCUCUGUAUUUUCAUACCGAAAGGAAGAAUUCAGUCCUAUAAAUACAUGUAAUAAUCCCUAAUUUCCUGUCUAUAAUCCCUGAUUUGUAGUCUAUAAUAAAUACAAGAUAUUCUGUUACAAUUUGGUUGCCAUAUAUUGUUGAUAUUCUUGCCAUAAUAUACAUUGACAUCCCCCCUCAAAUUGAUGCUGGUCGAUCAAGAAGCAUCAAUUUGUCAAUCAUGAGUUGAUGUCGAGGCUGAGACAAGGCCUUCGUAAAGACAUCAGCUGUCUGAUGCUCGGUGGAAAUAUGAGGUAGUGUAAGAAUAUUAUGAUCAAGAGCUUCACGAAUAUAGUGACAAUCGACUUCAAUAUGUUUGGUGCGUUCAUGAAACACAAGAUUAGUAGCAAUCUGAAUAGCACUUGUGUUAUCAGCAUGAAGAGGUGUAGGAGUGUGCUGAGGAAAACCAAGUUCACGUAGCAAACCCUGGAGCCACACAAUUUCAGAACAUGCGGAGGACAUAGCUCGAUACUCAGAUUCUGUGGAAGAUUUUGAGAUUCGGUCUUGCUUUUUUGCUUUUCCAUGAAAUUAAAGCAUUUCCAAGAAACAUACACCACCCAGUAACAGACCGACGUGUAUCCAUGCACCCUGCCCAAUCUGCAUCACUAUAACCUGUUAAUUGUAAUGAAUUAUCAUCAGGAAAAAAUAAUCCUCGCCCAGAUGUGCCUUUAAGAUAGCGAAGAAUUCUUCAAACAACAGCUAAAUGAGGUUGACGAGGAGCUUGUAGAAACUGACUGACUUGUUGUACUGCAAAAGAAAUAUCUGGCCGAGUAAUGGUUAGAUAAUUCAAACUGCCCACCAAUUGCCUAUAUAUGGAGGGAUCAGGUAACAGGUCACCAUCAUUCUGACAAAGUUUUAAAUUAAUCUCAAGAGGUGUAAGAAUGCUAUUCCCUGAUUCAAGACCGCCCAAGAGAAGAAUCUCUUGGGUGUAUUUGUGCUGAUGUAGAGAAAUCCCAUUAGACAUAGAGUGCACCUGGAGACCAAGGAAAUAGUGAAGGUGUCCCAGAUCCUUCAUAUAAAAUUCACUGUUAAUAGAACGCUGUAAAUCCUCAAUGAGUGGAAUGUCAGAUCCUGUAAUGAUAAUAUCAUCCACAUAUACCAGAAGAGCAACAAUACCAGUAGUAGUUUGCUGAAGAAAUAGAGAGGAAUCAUAUUGGCUCUGAAUAAAUUUAAGUUUCAGAAGAGUAGUGCGAAAUUUUUCAAACCAUGCCCGGGGUGCCUGUUUUAGACCAUACAGGGACCGUUUCAACCAGCAGACUUUAUCAGAUGGGUGAGUAAACAUACCAGGAGGAGGAGUAUAUAAAUAUUCUCUUUCAAAUCUCCAUGUAAAAAUGCAUUUUUUACAUCCAUUUGACGAAGUGGCCAUCUCUUGGAAGCAACAAUUGCCAUAAUGGUGCGUAUGGUAGUCAUUUUAGCCACAGGUGCAAAUGUCUCCUCAUAAUUAAUACCAUAUGCCUGACAAUUUCCAAGAGCCACCAACCGUGCUUUAUAUCGUUCCACAAUCCAUCAGGUUGGAAUUUAAUAGUGUAUACCCAUUUGCAGCCAAUAGGUUUAAUACCGGUAGGACAAGAAACAAUAUCCCAUGUGUGAUUAUCCUGAAGAGCCUGAAGUUCCUCUUUCAUGGCCUGUUGCCAACAUUCUUGGGUACAAGCCUGCGCAUAAGUCUUAGGCACAAAAGUACUAUCAAUAGUGGUUGCUGAGUAUCCAUACCUGUUUGGGGCACGUGAAACUCUAGUUGAUCGUCUUAGUUGAGGGGAAUGAUCAGAUGUCGGUUCCGUGUCCGGAAGGGGCAAAGUGGAUGGUGGAUGACGUCUUUGAUAUACAAUUCCUGGCUUAAAACGUUCAAAGAUAUAAGAUGGACUAUCAUCAUCAAAUGUGGGAAGCUGGAUAGGAGUGGAGUCUGUAGAGGGACAAGAAGGGAAAAAAUUCUGAUUUUCAAAGAAAAUCACAUUUCGAGAGAUAUGAAUUUUAUGAGCAUUUGCAUCAUAACAUACAAACCCUUUAUGAGAAUUACUAUAUCCUAGAAAAGCACAACGAGCAGUUUGGGCUGAGAGUUUAUUACGUUCAGUAAAUGGUAAGUGAACAAAACAAACACACCCAAAAACAUGGAGAGAAUCAUACUCAGGAAGAACACCAAAUAAAAUAGAGUAUGGAGAUGCAAAGUUUAGAACUUGAGAAGGCAAACGAUUGAUUAGAUGAACGGCUGUUGAUAGAGCUUCUACCCAAAAUCGAGUAGGUACUGAAGAAUCAAUUAAUAAAGUGCGAACAACAUCUAAAAGAUGACGAUUCUUACGCUCAGCAAGUCCAUUUUGUUGAGGAGUGUAAGGACAAGAUCUUUGAGAGAGAAUCCCUUUGUUUUUGAGAUAUUCCUGAAAUUCUUUGGACACAUAUUCCCCCCCGGAGUCAGAACGAAGUAUUUUAAUAUGAGCAGAAAAUUGAUUUUCAACAAAUACUAUGAAAGUCUGAAAUGUUGAGAAUACAUCAGCUUUAGAUCGGAGAAAAUAUAUCCAAGUGAAACGACUGAAAUCAUCAAUAAACGUGACAAAAUAUUUAUACUGAGCAUGAGAGAUAACAGGGCUUAUACCCCAUACAUCAGUAUGAAUAAUUUCAAAACAUUUAGAAGCACGACUACCAUGUGAAGGAAAUGAUAAUGCUUUGCUUUUACCCAAUUUGCAAGAACUACAGUCCAAAAAUUCUGUGGAAAAAGAAUUUUUAUUCCCCAAAUAUCCAUGUUUCAUAAGAUGAGUCAAUACAUUAGAAUUGGGAUGCCCCAAUUUCUUAUGCCAAAAAUGAGGAUUAUUAAUGACAGUAGAAUAAGCACAAGAAUUAAUACUAGGAAUAGAAAAUUGUAUUGGAAAUAAACGUCCCACUUUAGGCCCCUUCGCGAUCACCUUCCCCGACACUUGAUCCUGCACACAACAACCAUGACGAUUAAAGAGAAUUUCACAGUUAUUUUCUACCAUUUGACCAACAGAGAGUAAACUUGUUGAUAAUUUCGGUGACACAAAAAUAUUGUUGAAAUAAGACCCCAAAUUACCAAUCGAUAAAAUCGGCAGAUUAUCACCAUUUGCUACUUGUAUAUGUUGAUUACCCAUGUAUUUUCGCACAUUACACAACCCAUUUUCACUGCUGGUCAUGUGAUUCGACGCUGCCGAAUCCAUUAACCAUGGUUUAUUAUAUGCCGAAUCCAAAGAAAAGUUAAGUUUAUUACCAGAAAUCCCAAGUGCAGAGAAGGCAGAGAUGAUCAUCUGCUGCACCAUCUCGGGAGUGAUAGUGCCUGACGAAGAGCUCACCGACGAUGAAGAUUCUGGUGCCAACGGUAAGGACACGACUGUGGCAGCCAUAGAAGUAGCCCCCAAUUUUGACUGCACAGUAAACCCUUGUCGAUUCUGUGGUUGCAGACGACAUUCCCUGAUUACAUGCCCCUCCUUCUUACAAUAAUUACAGAAUUUCUUACUGCAAUUUCUGGCAAUGUGCCCUAAUUCCUUGCAAUUAAAACACUGCACACUCCCACCCCUCUGUCGUCCCCUUUCUUGAGCCAUGUAAGCCACAUUUAUCUCCGUGACAGUGUCCUGAGUCAACUCGUGUUGAGUGGCGAGUCGUUGUUCUUCCCGUAACAGUUCCCCCAAACAUUCAUCCAAGGUGGGUACUGGACUUCGGUUGAUCAAGCUAGCUCUCACGGCCUCAAAUUUUGGCCGGAGCUUCAUCAAGAACUGGUCCCUCUGGCUCUCGGCAUAAACAAGGUAUAGUGCUUCUAAACUCUCCUUCGGUAUUUUAGAGUAAAUUAUGCCAGUAUAUUCACUCCAUAGGUUUAGAAAUCCAGAAUAGAAUUGUUCAAUUGAGAGAUUACCUUGUUUGUAAUUGGCAAUACCCAUUUCGACCUGAAAUUUUUGAGCCGAAUUGUUCUGGGAAUAAAUGCGUCUGAAGUAGUCCCAAAUCUCAUUCCCUGUGCCAAACGAUCGAAGAUUGUUGAUCAUAUGGGGUUCAACAGACCCCAGUAUCCAGGAGACAAUUUUCGCAUCCUUGGUAGUCCAUAUACUCAGCUCCUGUGGUUCGGUUGGUGCUGGUGAAGAUCCAUCAAGAUGCCCCCAUAAUUCCUUCCCUUUAACAAACAUACGAAACUGAAACUCCCAACUAUCAUAGUUUUUGCUAUUGAAUCGAGUAAGAAAAGCCUCUCCAGACAUCCUAGGAAUCCCAAAAAAAAUAUCACCAAAUACUGAUGAAUUCAGUCUCUAUAGACUUAAGAAAAGAACAAAGAUCUAGAUCAGAGAAUAACCGGCUCUGAUACCAUGUCACAAUUAUCAGAUUUCAAUGUAAAGUUGUUCUCUGUAUUUUCAUUGAUACCGAAAAGAAGAAUUCAGUCCUAUAAAUACAUGUAAUAAUCCCUAAUUUCCUGUCUAUAAUCCCUGAUUUGUAGUCUAUAAUAAAUACAAUAAAUAAAAGAUAUUCUGUUACAAUUUGGUUGUCAUAUAUUGUUGAUAUUCUUGCCAUAAUAUACAUUGACAGAUUCAACGACCACGGCUGAGGAUUGAGUCGGUACUAGAGAAGGAAGGAGCAGAGUAAUCAUUAGAUCUAUGGAAAGACAAGUUGAAAUCCCCAUGACUAACUGGCAUCAAACCUAUGCUAGCACCAUCAAGCGGCAUCUCUGGCAAGCUAGCAUUCCCAUCCAGAUAUUGCGCAAUUUGCCUCAUGCUUGGCCUAGCUUGUGGUGUAGAGAAAGAACAAAGCAGACCUAGCUUCAAAACCAAUUCCAUUUCCUCCACCACGUAAUUACCUUCCAAUUUUGGAUCAACCGUUCGAAGAAUGUCUCCUAUUUUCCAGGAAUCAAGAACCCAGUCAACCAAAAUCAUCUUUUCUGCUGAUUGUUCUGGCUCUAAAGGUUUCCUUCCACAAGCCAUUUCAAGCAUAAAAGUGCCAAAAGCAUAAACAUCACUGCUGGUAGUGGUCCUUCCUGUUCUAGUAACCUCUGGCGCAAUAUAUCCAACUGUUCCAACCACACAGGUUGUUUGAGGAUUGGCCCCGCGAUCAUAGAAUUUAGCAAGCCCAAAAUCUCCUAGUCGACCAUUGAAAUCAUCAUCUAACAGUAUAUUGCUAGCUUUCACAUCUCUAUGCAGAACAACCUGUUCCCACUCUUCAUGGAGGUAAAAAAGGGCAGACGCAACUCCUCUGAGGACCUGAUAUCGCCGAACCCAAUUAAGGCUGGGUGUGUCAUUGCGAAAUAGGAGUUUAUCAAGGCUUCCAUGGGGCAUGUAAUCAUAGACCAAGAGGAGCUCUCCCUUUCUCCGGCAAUAGCCUAGGAGCUGGACCAAGUUCCUGUGCCUCAGCCUUCCCAUGCUAGCAAUCUCAGCAACAAACUGCUUAGUUCCUUGUUUGGAAUCAUGGGAUACUUUCUUGAUCGCGACUUGCAUAUUGGAAGAAGGCAAUACUCCUCUGUAAACCUUUCCAAAACCACCACUUCCCAGCAACUUUCUGUCUGUGAAACCUGUAGUUGCUUUGUAUAAAUCCUUGUAGGAGAAUCUUUGAGGACCAUACUCCUGUUCCCAAUCUUCGCGCAGUUCUUCAUAUUUCUUCCUCCUUAUUAUACAGGCAGCACCAGAGAUUGCUACCAGCAAAAUGAUUGCUGUUAUUGUUGGGGCCAGAAUUCUUAAAUAUGGUUUCUUUCUUGAUUUUCUUUGAGGGGGAAGUGAAGGCAACUUUGACACGUCAAGACUUUGAGCUUGUCCGCCUCUGUUGAAGCUCCACCCCAGAAUAUAGUGGCUGCUAGCCACUGCUCCAGUAGAUGAAGAAAAACCAACGUACAUAGAAUCCAACAUAACAGAAGAAAGAUCGAGAGGUGUUGACAAAAGAGGCAAGGUUGGUUUUGUUCUUGUGACAGGAGCAACUGUAACAUUGAGUAGCUUCUCGACUUCAUCAUAAUCUAUCCACACGUGCAUCACAUGACCACUUAUGAGAGACAAGCUCUUAUUCUCCUUUUCCUCAUCUGAAAAGUAGGUCACCGGAGCAGAUUCAAUGGAUAUCAAGCUGUUUACAUCAAUUCCAACGUGGCUGUCAUUGAUGUCUUUAAUAUCCGGGCUUGGAACUGCAUCCAGCUCAACUGCCACUAGAUGGUUUGAAGGUAGGCCUUUGCUUGUAGAAUUGAGGAUUCCAAAGUACUGAGUUGCCAUAGCCCCUGUGAAGUCCACAGAUGGAGAGAUUGUGAAGGCCAUGCCAUGGCCACCAAGUGUAGGCUGCUCCGGGACCAUGGCAAACGCAAACUGGGUAGAGAACGAGAGAGACCGAGAAUUGUUGAAUAAAGAUGUGUUGAACUGAAAAGGGAAUGGGAAGAAAGCACGGCCAAUUUGCUGUUUUGAAGUGUUUGUCAGCUCUAAGACCAUUUGGAUGGAUUUUUGCAAUCCCGCUGAGGAGCAGGUCGGCUCCAGUGAAGCCAUGAUAGAUGAAGUGGUUUUCCUCUUGAGCUAAGGCCAAGAGCUUCAAGGAAACAAACAGGCCGAGUAGAAAGUGCAAUGAUUUGAACGAUGCAAUCAUCAUAAGAACGUGCAGAAGAUUGUUUUUGCUUCUUCAGUUACACAUUGGUAAAAGAACAAACUUUUUUCGCUUCGAGUUUCUCCUUAUUUGUUGUUACAGUUUCAAAUCCUCAGUCUAAAGACUGAAUUAUAAACAAGUCUCGUCACAUUGCUAUGACUUGGGCGCAUUCGAACCUUCUCCAGAGCUUUUUCUUGGAAAAAACGUAGGGAAAACUACUUUUCGACCAAUAUAAGCUUGAAGUUUCAACACCGCCUUGAAAGCUAAUAUUAAUCAAGGAGUUGGAAUUAAAAAAAGAAAAAGAAGUUGUUAGCACCAAAUCUUAGGUUGGUUGACUACAAGCGUAACCAAGACGUAAAGGGCUGUCAAGACAAUUUCAACACCGCCUUGAAAUCCACUAUUAAUCAAGGAGUCGGAAUUAAAAAAAACAAAGAAGAAGUUGUUAGCACCAAAUCUUAGGUUGGUUGACUACAAGUGUUACCCAAAUGUAAAGGGGUUGUCAAGACAAUUUCAACACCGCCUUGAAAGCCACUAUUAAUCAAGGAGUCGGAAUAAAAAAAGAAGAAGAAAAAGUUCUUAGCACCAAACCUUAAGUUGGUUGACCAUAAAAGUAACUUAGAUGUAAAGGGGUUACCAAGACAAAAUCAACACCGCCUUGAAAUCUACUAUUUAAAUAACCACAUAAAUAGCACAAGAAAAGCCCAUGUGCCAGGUUUUUUUAUAUAUAAAUAUAUUUAUUAAAUAAUCAAAUUGCUUGUAAAUCAAUUUUAUUAUAAUAAUAAAAAAACCAGUUUGAAAAAAUAGAAAAGCUCCUGAAUAUAAGUUAAUUGUUUUUGCUUGUAAGUGUACAUCAGUCUUUUACAACGUUUAAGAAAGUCUUAAGGACAAAUAAGCUCUUGAAAACCAGUUGAAUAGCUUUAAGGGAUUUUUUUUUUGUCAUUUUAAAGUGAAAAAAAAUAACAUGCGAAUAACUUUUUGCUCUUGAUUAAUUUGGAUCCCGUGAAAAGACUAAAUUGACCUCAAUAUUUCAGUGCAAGGGCAAAUCUACAAACGCCCCAUUCCAAUGAAUAAACUUAUAAGUCAGGUAUGUGUCUGAGAUUUAUUUAUUUAUUUAUAAUUUAAUUUAAUUUAAAGGGUGAAAAAUCCAUUUCAACGACGUUAUUCCUGGGUGGCCAUCUUUGACUCUAUGCACUAUGCAGAAGAACGAUACAAUCUUAGAAAAAUCACUGCGCCUUGAUAGCUAACUGAAAAUGACAAUUCUGUAUAUGAUUCUUGCGAUCCACUCAGAGAUUCUUUUAUUUUUAAUGUUUUAAAAAUAUUUUAAAAAUAUUUAUUAUUUAUUAUUAUUUUUAUUUCAAAUUAAUAUUUUUAUGGUGUUUCUAGAAUAUUUUAAUGUAUUGAUAUUAAAAAUAUUUUUUUAAAAAUAAAAAAUUAUUAUUUUAAUAUAUUUUUUUAAAAAAAUUCAAAAAAAUAACAGCUAUUCUCCUUUUCAAGUCCCUUUAAAAUAAAAUAGUAAUAAAUGAAUAUAAUAAAUAAUAGAAUUCAAAUACGUCAUGUCAUGUCAUGCGAUGCCAUGCCGUAGCCGAUACAUAAACUUUAGGUGGACACCUCAUGCGUUGGCGUGGCUCUCGUCUCGUCUCCUAAUGAAAGAUGCUGCUUAUCCUUAACCCUCUACACUUAUGCCUACCCAUUUAGCUCUCGUCUUUUUUCUAUUUCUAUCGUUUUUUUUUCUUUUUUGAUUAAGUAAUAAUUGAGUGCUAUAAUCUUAUCCAUUUUAAGAAACAAUGACAAGAUUUAUGGAAUCAUUUGAAUUCAAGUACAAGAGAAUCAGAAUAAUAAAUAACCCGACAAUAUUGAUAUCAAACCAUAUAGAGAUUAACUAUAUAAAUUAAUAAUAAUAAUAAUAAUAAAGAGUCAAAGAGAAUUGUCAAAUAUGAUAUUAAUGUAAGGAUAAAAACAAAGAUAAAACAAUUAUUAAGGUUGGAGGAUCCACUAAUAGUAUUAGAGAUAAGUAAAGUAUAAACUCUUUAUAAAUUAUUAUCAUGAUCAUAUUAAUCAUCUUAUUUACAUGAUACAUAUAAAUUUUAUCAAGUAUUUAUGAUGCUAACUUAUGUUGACAACAAAUCAAGUUUCUUUCAUAACAACAAUGUCAGCUGAAGACUAUGAAUGAUCAAGCAUUUAAUGUACCAAGUGUUAUAUAACACAAAUUUAGAUUAACCAUUUAAUAAGCAAGGUAUUAAGGAUUGAUAAAAUAAAAAGAUAAAACAUGUCAAUAUUAAAUUUUCUUGGAUAUAAGCAUUUAAGUUCAUAUUGAGUUUAUAUUAUACUUAUUUUAACAUCAUUAGUGAAACCUUUUCACCUUGACAUGAUAAACUUAGCUAAACAUUAUGAAGAAUAAGAACAUAAAUAAACAAGAUAAGAACAUAGUUAACUAAGUAUAGUAGAUGAUGUUGUUACCCAAUUUUUUGACCCACCUUUUUAAUAAAUUUUUCAAAAAAAUCCAAAAAUAGUGAAAAACAACAAAAAUCCAAAAAAAUAUGUUUUUAUUAUAUUUGCAAUGUUUUUAGCAUUUUCAACGUCUUUUAAAAAGAAUUUUAAUUUUCAAUUGUUUUUUCGAACGCGUUCGACUUUUCACGCGUCAUUUUAAAAUCGUAAUUUUUCUCAUAGAAUUGACGUUGAUUUUGCUCUUUUUUAAAAAUACAAGAAAAAAAAUAAGAAAAAUCAAAAUUUACAAAAAAAAAUUGAGGGACCAAUUUGGAGGUUUGAACAAACUUUUACCUAUAAAUAUAGGUUGAAAACUCAAUAUCUAGAGGGGGGGUCAUUUAUGUAAUUUUGGUGAGAGGAACCAAAAACACAAAAAAAGAAACCCUAACAUAUUUUCUUCUCCCUCACCGAUCCGGAGCCGCCCUCCCCGGGUUCGAAUUUUUUUCGGUCCUCACUUUUCCUCUGGUCAUCAGCUCUCAACCUUCCCCACCUUUGCAAAAGAGAAGAGAAGCCGCAUCCCCUCCAUCAUCCAUUUCUCUUUCGCCACCAGAGAACCAGCCGCCGCCGAUCUCCCUUCCUCAUCCCCACAGACCGGACCCGGCAUCUCCCUCAGCCUAAACAAAUCCGCCGUCCCCUGUUCCCCUGAUUUUUCCUUCUCCCAGCACAAAGCAGCCCCCGGUUGAUUCCUCUUCUUCCCUGCUCACCGACCACCAGGAGUCGCCCCCGUCACCGAGAGUGCCGCCUUCCAGCCCGCAGCAAAGCUUCCUUCAUCGGCGCAGAUCGGCCUCCAGCAGCAACCCCGCUGUCUUCUUCACCUUCGUCCGAUCAGCCUUGCAGCGGCGUCUCCUCCACAGAAGCAAGCCACUGCCACCGCCUCCGCCUGCUUCUUCAUGACCAGCCGAACACAGCGGCGCCCACAGACCCAUCGCCGGAUCUGUAACCAGCGAAGGAAGAGAAACAGAGCUGGAAGAGAGAAGCAGAUUUGAAAAAACAAAAAAAAAAACAAAGAACAAAAAUUAAAAUCGACUGGUGUGCGUUCUUUGCUUGAUCUGCAGGUCGGCGCCGGCGAGGAAAGAAAGGGGGAGGAGGUCGUUGCAGACCCCCCCUGUUUCGGGUUGUUUUCACGGCGGCGCGUGGUCCCACGCGCCGCCAGUGGCGGUGGUGCGUGGAUCUCACGCGCCACCGCUGUUUCAGCCCUCAAAACUCUGCUGAACACUGUUCCGGCAACUCCAGAAGUCCAUUCGCCACUGUUCUGAAUAGUUUUAGAUUGUUUUGUAAUUUUCAUUGUAAUAUUUGGUUAGUUUUGUUUUUUUUUUAUAGCUUGUAUUUAAUGUAAAUGUGGAUGUAAAAGAAAAGAAAAGAAAGAGAAAGUGAUAAUAAUAAUAAAAAAAAGAAAUGUUUGUGUGUCUUUGUAUUUUUUUUUAUGUAUGUUAUUGAAUAAUAAUAAAAAAAGGAAUUUAAUUUAUAUGCAUAAAUAUCUAAAGGACAGAUAAAAAUCAUGUUGAAUUUUCCAUGAAAAUGUAGAACAUGUAUCUACAUAUAGUCUGGAAAAGUAAUAACUGAUUUAUCAAAGCCUUAGAAUUGGGCUAAAAUUUUAUUUUUAAUAUCACGUCAAGUCCACGAAGCUUGAAAGUGAAUGUGGUGUGUAUUUUUGUUUAUGAAUUUUUUUUUUAUGAUAAAAUUGCAGGAAUAAAGAAGAAUUUAAUAUUCCGAUUUAAUCACGGAUAAAGAAUCAUGAACUUACAUGUAAGUUGUAUUUUCUAAAAUUCGAUGAAAGAACAUAAUUUUUAAAACUUCUUUAACACAUCAAGUCCACAAAGCAGCUUACCUCAGGUAGGGUGCGUUAGGGGUGCUAAUACCUUCCCUAACCACAACCAGUCCCUUACCCGCGAUCUCUGACAAGACCAGUACAUCAGGUUUCCUAGUAGCCCUCAAUGAAUUACUAGGUGGCGACUCCAAAGAACCAAAUCAGCAAAACUGAACGAAUAAUCGCCAGCCGAUGCCGCGCGCUUUGAUUUUUUUGGGGUGCGACAGAAUGGCGACUCCAUUGGGGAAGGUAUUGUUUUCAACAUUAUUGGACUAAGCUUUGCAUAUUUGAUGUGUUUAUGUUUUUGCAUUUUUGUCUUAUUUUAUUUUUGUUUUACCCAUGCAUUUUGUAGAAUUGUCUCAUGCAUCACAUAAUGUAAUUUUUUAAAGCACACACAAGCUUCAGGUUAGGAGGGGGACUAACAGCUUACCUUACGACUUUUAGUCAAGAUGUAAGUUUGUGUAAACCCCAACUCUUCGUUGAGUGCUUAGACUGGUAAUAGUUGGACACGUGCCAUCUCAUUGCCUACAAGCCCCUAUAUUGCCUCCACGAGGGCGAUCACUGGGACAACGAGAGCCCCUUUUUAGAGACCAAAUAGUAAACCUACCCUUUGUCUCACUUAAAAAGAUUAGAACCUGCCUUUAGGAUGUAUGCUCCGUAGAUAUUGUUUUACAUCCGAGCAAGCCCUUCUUGAAGCAUCUUGAACUCCAGACUUAUGGGUGACACAAUGACCGUCGCUCAGAAAAUUUUCAUUGUAGAGUUUGUGCAAGAAUCAAGAUUCUUGUUUCAUCAUACAAGAGUUGCGACCAUAUGUCACCCCUCGAAGGGCGAGUUCGUCAUAUAGAUUACAUAUUCAUACAUUUAUCAUGCAUGUACCGGGUUGAAAGGUAGGUCCCCCGCACAAGCUGUGCUGCACAUGAUUGAAGAAAGAUGAUAAAGGUGAAGAAAAGUGUUAGAUAGAGGCUCAUUAUCAGAUUGAGGUUGAGAGCAUCAAAGGUGAAGUAGCUAGACUCAGAUCUGCUCGAACAAGUGUUGAGCAUCAAAUGGAAAGAGAAUGUCUGCACAGUCUUCUGUGGGAACACUGCUUGUCCAUGUCCAAUUGAAGCUGCCUCUCCUUUUCAGUCAUGAACAACAACAACAAUGCCUUCAGUCAUCAACUAAUGACAACUCUAGUUCUUGUCCAGUUGCGCUGUUAAGUGUUCAUCGCCUCCACAUCAUCUAAUGGAACCAAACAACUACUAGCCUCUUGUACAUGGUGCAUUAGUCUGCUUUGAAGUUACCCUAAUUAUGAGCUCAAUUUCAGUCAGCAGCACAAGAUGUUGGUCUGAAAAACCAUGAUCAGACACUGAACUUCUACGUGGUAGAGCUCUCUGUGUAGAGAUUUAUUUGUGGAUCUGCCAAUGGGAAAUGCAAAAGGGGAUGUAUUAAUUUCAUAUGCUUUGAAAUUUUUUUCCUACCAGUGGCACGAGCAAAACAUUGUACUAGGCAGAGGAGUCAGGCCUGGUCUGAAAAUAUGAGUAGUCGUCGAACUUCAACGUGGCAGAGCUCUCUCUACAAAAAUCUGUUUAUGAUGCUGCAAGUUGAGAGUGCAAGAGAGGAUCUACUAAUUGCAUAUGCUACAAAUAUUUCUCAUCAGUUUCAGCACGAAGAAAUUAACUGUAGCAGGUUGAAGAGCCAGAUUUGGUUUGAAAAACAUUGAGCAGACAUUGAACUUCAACAUUGCAGAGAUCUCUCGGCAGGAAUCUAUUUGUGGAUCUGUAAAUGGGAAAUCCAAGAAGGAAUACAGUAGUUUCAGAUCAUCUAUGAUUUUCCUCCAACAGUGCCAGUAUUUAAAAUACAAAAGUAGAAAGAAGAGACAUGCCUCGACUGAAAAACAUGAAGAAGACUGAAACUUCAACAGAGCAGAACUUCCUCUAUUGGUGCUUGUUUGCUGCACCGUUCGAGAGGAAUCAAAGAAGAAAUAGAGGAGAUUCAUGUCCAUCAUCUUCUCCCAUAGAAGAGAUAAGGCAUGAUUCCACGUGUCAGUAGUGGCGAUACUACAAGUUUUUGGGCACUGCUAAGAUUACCAAGCUGUUGAAAAGUUUUCUAACAAUCCUCAACCAACCACAACAACAUUGGAAGGUUGAGAUGAUGCUGUGAGGAUUUGCCGAAGAUUUGAACAAGCUAUGAAGAGAGGAAAGAUUGAAGGAUCUGCCAAGGAUUCUAGAACAAUGAUGAGAGAUGAAUCAAAAGAAGACUCUGACGGUGGGAAAUCUUAAUUAUGUGGUCUAGCCAAGUCUCGUUGUAUCAUCGACUACUUCGAUGUCUUUGCCAAAGAUAGACAUUCAUUUGCCAUGUGGUAUUAAUCCAAACAAGAGAUGUGAUGUCAUGGUGGGGUCCUCAACAGUUGCAAGAAUUUCAAGAAGCGAGUCUCAAAGUUGGUGAGCAAGGGACAAGUGGAGCUUGCAAAGGAGGGUGUCAUUAGCUAUAUUGUCCCCCGAACAUCAUCAAAAUGACAUGUGAUCGAAAGUGCUUGGCAAAACUCAGAUAUUGCCAGAAAAGCUGAUUCAAGAAUGGUGAUGAACAGUCAAUCAUAUUGUUAUGGAAUUCUGCAUUUUGUUUAAGAUCACAUCUCAUCCUUCAACGAAACAUGUCUUGCUUUUGUCUCUUUGUUGUUUUGAAAUCAACAGAUGUUUAGCAUUUUAUCCUGACAAAAUAUUUUUUUCAAACUCCAACAUGCAAUAAAGGUUAAUCAAUCCGGAAAUUUAAAAGUGUUUUGAUUACAGAAAUGACUCGAUGCUUGAAAAUGACAUGAGGUGACUAAACAAUUUUGAACUCAUACCUCCUGAAACUGAACCACACAUCAUAUAGCUAAGUUUUAACAGUAUGCAUAAUGACAUGUAGUGGAUUCGGUAGUUAUGGACUCGUGAAUCAUGAUUCUUACAAGUCUCAAUCAUUCAUUGGAUGAGGUCAAAAUUUAUCGGUUCUAACUGACCUUGCUUGAAAUGAGAAAAGGCCAUCUUUGAUAUCCCUUUACUUUCUAAAGAUUAUAUCCCUUGUAGUCCCAUUUUGAGCCUAGUGAAAUAUUUUCUUUCAAAAAAGAAACCCUGACUAGGAUCACACCCCACACUAGGGGCAGAUGAGAGAUAUGUUGGAGACAUUGAUAUAAUUAAUGGAUAAAGGCUUAGAACAAAAGUCCAAUGUUUGAGAGAGAGCUAGAAGAAGAUACAUAGACUGGGGGCAUAUAAGAAAGUUUUGAGGAAGGCUAUAAAAAAAAUGAGAAUGAAAAAAAAAGGAAGUUGAAAUUGCCUUCACUUAAAUACAAGUCAAAGAUAAAGGAUGGAGAACGCUUAUCAUGUCUAUGAAAAGCAAAAGAAAUUUCAAUCAAGGAAGGACACAACAAAAGUCAAUACCAAAAAAAAAAAAAAAGAGACUAAGUUAUAAACGUGACUUUUGGUGUCCAUUAUAAAGCCUCUGAUGUUAUCAUAUGAUUAAGUUUGGUUAUUCAUCAAGGAAGGGUGGAUUUGCAUUAUGACUUAUGUUAAGCGAAGUCUGAUCUUUGAGGUUAACAAGGUUAUAUGUCGUUUCCUCUACAAAGACAACAACAUAAAAGAUUUGAUGAAUAAUUGAUGUUGAUCCUAGGUCUUUGAAACCCUUAAACACCUUUUGAGCUUUUGAGAUUCCUUUUCUUUCAUAGCCAUGAACCAUAGCCUGCAUUACAUGUUUUUAAAAGCCCUUUUUGAUCAAGUAAGCAAUCUGAACCGAUAAAUGGCGCUCUCAAAACUUAAAGAGCUUUUCCAUAAGGGUCGUGACUACAUGAAUUAAGCUACUAGUUAUUAUGCAUGCUGAUAAAAUAAGCUAUAAGAAAAGAAACAACCUUUCUUGAUAAAGCCUGAGCAUCUUAUUUUUGAAAUUCAUAAAAAUGUCACCUCAUCACAGACCAUCAAAAGUGUUGCUACCCAAUUUUUGACCCAUGUUUUUGAUAUAUUUUCAAAAAAUCCAAAAAAACAUUAAGAAAAAAAUUUGAAAAUUCAAAAAUAUAUAUUUUUUUUCUCUCGAGUCAACCGCAUCUCUUCAUUCAAACCAUGUCGACCAGGGUAAAAAAUGAGUUUCGGGCUGUUUCGGGUCAAAAACAUCAUUUUCGACCAAAAUCGGGUUCACCGGGUCAAUACGGGUCAUACCAUGUUGACCAAGGUAAAAAAUGAGUUUCGGGUCAAAAACAUCAUUUUCGACCAAAACCGAGUUCACCGGGUCAAUACGGGUCAAACCAUGUCGACCAGGGUAAAAAAUAAGUUUCGGGCUGUCUCGGGUCAAAACCGUCAUUUUCGACCAAAACCCGGUUCAUCGGGUCGAUACCCAUCAAAUUUUUUUUUUGGUAUUCCAUUUUUUUUGCGGUUGAAACGAGAUUUUUCUAAUACUGAUUUGAAUUUUUAGUUUUACCCAUGUAAAUAUUUAUUAUUAUAUAUAAUAAAACAAAAUUAUGGUAGUUGCGUGCAUUAUUUAUUAUUAUAUAUAAUAAAAUAGAAUUAUGGUAGUUGUCCCGUGGCUAUAAAUAGCCACGAGAGGAGAAGGCAAAGGGGGGAAGAGAAACAAAGACAGAAAAGAGGAGAAAGAAUUGUAAUACUGUGCAUGUUUUUUUUAGUUUUCCACUUGCGAGUAGGAUAUAAUUUUUUUAAAAAAAACAAUUUGAAAAAUACCAAAUAUAUCCCGACUCAUCUAAGCCAUUGAAUUAAUUCAAGAUUUAAUCCCAUUGCGCCACGUCAUCCGAUGCACCGAGCUUUCGGUAUACCGCGCAACACAGGUUAACAUCCUUCAGCAUUUAAUCCCAUUGCGCCACAUCAAAAACCAAACAAUCUGGGCCGCGCGAUCAACCUGAAGAUCUAGCCAAUCCCAGCCAUCCGAUCGUUUCAUCCAAGAUCCAACGGUUAACAUCCUUCAGCGGCACCGGUACACCAUACACGCGUCCGCACUGUAGUAAAUCUCAGAGCAUCUCUCUCCUCUCGCCGGCGACUCUCUCGCCAGAAAUCUCGCCUGAAAAGCUCGCCGCCACCAACAGUAGCUGCGCGUGAGCCACACGCGCCGCCAGUGGCAUUUUCGUAAAUUUCCGAUAGAUCCGAGGGUAUUUCAGUAUUUUACCUAUACUGUGUCACUUAGGUGAUUGUUUUUUAGAUUUCUAACAUUUUUUUUAUUUUGUGUAUAAAUUUUCUUGUAUGUUGUAAAACAAACAAAAAAAUAAAAUAAAAAAGAAAGGAAUAACAACGCGGGUCCAACACCCAUCCUAUCAUGUUAUCGUUCGUGGGUCCAAAGCCCAAAUCUCAAAUAUAGAUACCCAUUCUCAACGAUAUAAAAAUAAUUUUAUAAACAAAUACUGUUCGUCGACACGUCUCUUUUUCAUAAAAGGACCGAUGUCAAAAGUUUAAAUACCAAUAUGGAUUAUGUCCAUAGUUUUUUUGGUAACUUAGACGUAAAUCUCUUUUUAGGGUUAAACGUCAAUAUUUUAGACAAGUCUCCUAUUUUUAGGGACUGAUGUCAUUUUUUAACGUGUCUCCUAAUUUUAGGGACCGACGUUAACUUUUAUAAAAAACAAAAAUUACAAAUAAGCUCGAAAUAUAAUAGCAUUUGAAUCAGAUAUAAAAACACACAAGUAAGGGUAACCUUUCUUUUGAAAGGAUGUUUUAAGGGUGGUGUCUACCUUCCCUUGAUCAUAACUAACCAAGUACCCGAAUCUUUGGAACCAGUGUCUAAUUUGGGAUUUCUAGUUCCCUCAAAUUACUAGAUGGCGACUCCAAUAUAAUUUUCAUUCCCCCAAUUAAACAAAUCUUUUUUGUUAAAUAAACAAAAAUGAGCGGAGCCGUCGCCCGACGUCGUGUAUCGACAGAAUGGCGACUCCACUAGGGACUAGGGUUGAACCAACUGCUUGUGUGUGCUUUUCAUUUUUUUUUAUUGGUAUUUAUUUUUUGAGUAUUCAUUUUAUUUGCACUAUUUAUUUUAUGCAAUAUCAAUUGUAAAUCAUUUCAUUUUUUAAUUACACAUGCAUGCAUGUUAUUUAUUUGUGUAUUCACACACUUCACAAUGAACCCAUAAAAGCUCUGGACCCGAGCUCGUCCUUUUUAAGAUUAGAAAAGAAAGAUUCAGGUGGCAAGUGUGACUUAUGUCCACUGAUGCUCAUUUGGACUUUCGCUUGGAUUGUAACUCACCCUAUGCAACGGGUAUUGUGGAAUUUUCUUCCCAUACUCAUGUUGUAUAAGGUUAAGAGGCCGACUACCCCAUGGGUAAUUCGGGCAAUCUAAGAACCAAAGAAAAUCUUUAAGAUUAGAAUCAACUGAGCCAAACCCUAUGAGCUAGAUCCUAUCAAUUAGGAUAUACCUUUAGGACACAAACAAAUAUCAAUGCAUUAACAUACAUGUUCAUAUAUAUUUCAUAUUCUCAUUAAAUCUCCACCGAUCCUCAUAGGAAGUGUGAGAUAAAAAAAAAACAUUACUAUUGAGGAAUUUUUGACCAGAUCAGAUUUGAACCAACAUGAUGAAGGGGAUUGUUUGCCAUCAGAACAUGACAUCAAAUUUCUCCCCUAAAUCGGUUCAAGUCCCUGUAGGUUUGGAGUCCUCAGUGAGAACUUUUUUUAAGAGAAUCUAAUCUGGUCUGUUCCUCGUUAUAAUUUAAAAAAACAAUUUUGAAACCAAUAACAAUCAUGCAUACACCAUAUGACUUUUUGCAUCCAUUUGUGCAUUUCAUUUAGUUUACUUGCAUUCACUCAGGUUGAAAUAUAGGUCCCCCAAGAGGCCCUAAAAUUCAUUACACUCGAUUACGAAGGAAGAUAAUGGAGAACGAAGAAAGGGCCCACCUAGAGGCUCAUUAUCAAAGAGAGUUGGAGAACAUGAAAAAUGAUAUAGCACGACUUACAAGUCUACUCGAGCAGGCCCUAGUAGCCAAGUCUGGGGAAGGUACCUCAACUCAGCUGGCAGUUGCAACUCCAUCUAUAUCUAUGCCAGCAGCUCCUUUUGUAUUCCCGCCUCAAAAUUUAGGGGCAAAUCCCUCUUCAUUUGAACAACAGUUCACUGCCAAUGUUCCACCAGCACAAGUGCCAGUUACUGUAAACCUGGCAACUGAUGACCCACAAAGGAUGAAAUUCUCCGAAAAUGUCGAUUAUGAUAAAUUGACUGCUCUAGAAGCAAGAUUGAAGGCAGUCGAAGGGGCAGACUUAUAUGAUCUUGUUUAUGCUGCAGAAAUGUGUUUAGUUCCAAAUGUAGUUGUACCCAAAGAAUUUAGGGUACCAGAAUUCAUCAAGUAUACUGGAACUGAAUGCCCAAUCACUCAUCUUAAAUCUUACUGCAAUAAGAUGGCAGAAGUAGUGAAUGAUGAGAAACUUCUCAUCCAUUUCUUUCAAGACAGUCUUUCUGGAUCGACAUUAAGUUGGUAUACAAGGCUGGAUAAUACUAAGAUCAGAAAGUGGAAAGAUUUGGUAAAAGCCUUUGUGGAGCAGUAUAAAUUCAACAUGGAGGUAGCCCCGGACAGGUCAAGCUUGUUAGUUAUGGAGAAGGGCAACAAAGAGACUGUCAGAGAAUACGCUUUGAGAUGGCGUGAAAAAGCAUCUCAUGUGCAACCCUCUUUGUUAGAAAAAGAAAUGGUCACUCUAUUUUCUAACACUUUUAAAUCUCCAUACUUUGAACACCUGGUGGGUAGUUCAGCUCAGCAUUUCUAUGAUGCUGUAACUAUCGCUGAGAGAAUAGAACAAGCGAUAAGAACAGGGAGAAUUUCCCUUGGGGGCAUCUAAAGCAGAUAUGAAGACCUUGACAAGGCUAGCCAUGGAAUUUUACCUGGAUGGAAAAAUUCUAUGUAAAAGAUCAUUCAAUGGCACUGUACUAAGAUGUCUAGAUGAAAUCGCAGCUAAGGUAGCCUUGCAAAAAAAUUCAUGAAGGAAUUUAUACAACUCAUGCAGGGGGGCAUAUGAUGGCUAGACAAAUGCAACGAUCUGGGUACUUCUGGAUGACCAUGGAGAAAGACUACAUCGAUUAUAUCAGAAAAUGCCAUAAAUGUCAAGUGUACAGUGAUAAGAUAAAUGCACCUCCAUCUCCUCUGUUUAAUAUGACAUCAUCGUGGCCAUUUGCAAUGUGGGGAAUAGAUGUGAUUGGGCCAAUCAACCCAAAGGCCAGCAAUAGGCAUCAAUUUAUCUUAGUAGCCAUUGAUUACUUCACAAAGUGGGUGAAGGCCCAUAUGUAGUGAAGAAAGCAUUCUCCGGAGGGGCUCUGUUGUUGCCUAGGAUGGAUGGAGAUGAUUUAUCUAGGCCUGCGAACUCUGAUUCUGUGAAAAAGUAUUAUGUAUGAUGUGUUUCAUCCAAUCAAAUCAAUGAAGUUUUGGCCAGGAAAUUCCCUUUGCAUAUACCUCACCAAAAAGCUCAUGCAUGAUCUCAAUUGCUCAACAAUUUGAUCUUUCAAACUUUUUUUUACUAGGAGAAUCCAUUCUUCUUAAAUGAGGUUUUAAAAGAACUGAUUUUGUUUGUGAUUUCAAUGAAAUAAAUCAAUGAUUUGUUUGGAAUAAUGUUCAGAGCAAUUCCCUUGAAAGAGAUGACCAAACAAGUCAAAAAAAAAAAACAUGCAAUUGGAACAACUAUCACCCAAAUUAUGUCUUGGAUCCACAUUUUAUCAGCAUGAAUAAUGGUUGGUAGUACAUUAGUUUGUCAUGGACUCGCAAAACAUGGUAUCUUACAAAUCCAAAGCAUUACGUUGGAUAUGGACAAAGUUUAUUGGUUUUAACUGAUCUUACUUGAAAUGAGGAAAGGCCAUCUUUGAUAUUCCUUUCACUUUCUUUAAAAUUAUCCUUUGCAGUCCCAAUUUGAGCUGAGUCUAUUUAAAGCCUUUUCUUUCACGAGAACCUUAACUAAGAUCACACCCUACACUAGGGGGCAAAAAGAGAAAUAUGAUUAAGGAAAUUGUCUUGAAGGCAUGUGAGCUUAUAAAGAAAGUCUGACAACAAAGAAUUCAAUUAAAUUCCAAACAAUUGAGAGAAUUCCUAACAAAUAUGGGAAUAACAAAAAGAAAAUAGAAGUUCCUCAUUUGGAAUAUUCAUCAUCAUUUUUGUUGUCAAGGUAGCAAAAGAAAAUGCCAAGACAAGAUAAUAGUGAUCUAUAGUUUAUAAGCCCUUAAACACUUUUUGAGCUUAUGGAAUACCCUUUCUUUUAUAGCCUUGAGCCAUAAACUACAUUGCGUGCCUUUGAAGUCCUUUCUAAUCAAGUAAGCCACCUGGAUCAAUAAACGGCGUUCUCAAAAUGUAAGAGACUUUUCCACAAAGAGUCAUGGCGUAGCAAAUAAUUACUCGUUAUUAUUCAUGCUGUUAAAAAGAGUGUUUCUAAAGAUAAAAGGCAAAUUAUUUCUUUUCUCUCAAAAUACCUUCAAGCAAUCGCUUGAACACUUUGAAAACCAAAGCAGAAGGUCAUCUCAUCACUUACCUUCAUCUUAGAUUACUUUUACCAAGAGAUUUGACAUAAAGCCCCAGAAUUGCCUGAACAUUGUUAUAAACAGACAUUGAGAGUUUCAGUUUUCGAGAACAAAACAGAUCUUUUGAAAAAUCAUUUUUGGAAAAAGGUUUUCUUUGUAAGAAAAAUGAGCAUAUAACACAUUAUGAGGCACCAUUAGAAAAUCAGAGAUUCUAAUGACAACAAGAGCAAAGGAGGAAAUGAAAUGAGGCAGUUAAUUCUCCCAGGGGGCAGAGAAGCGGUUACCAGAUCCGUAAUGGACCAGAUCCGUAAUGGCACAAAGAAAUUUGCUUCCCUAGUGGAAAAUACACGUGAUAAACUGUGGGCUUCUUCUAGCAUGAGGACUGAAAUAUUAUGAUGUCCAGUAUCUAUGAAAGGAGAUUGUUGACUCUUACAAUAUGAUCAGUUAGACAACAAGAUAACUGAUACAUCUUCAGUACGAGAAAUGCAGAUGAAAUCCCAGGACAAUGUCGGGCCACGGAGAAGCUGAUUCGCUCAGUGAAGUUACUAAUAGAGAAACGUGCAGUGACUGUUGGGAAACUCAAACAAUGCUUAUCUUAGAAAAUGGACAACAUGGGUCAGCUUGAGUAGACUUGAAGUACGCGUAAAUCAAAAGAGCUCACUUAAAGUCAAAACCCUCAAACAAGAUGAACGGGGAUCUAUAUUUCAAAAACAGGUAAGAUACAUUGCAUAUCAUCUCACUUCACAAGCAUCGCAUAUUUGUUUUGCAGAUAUCUCUCGAAACAAAACUCCUCACGGGAUCCAACGAGACUCGGAUGAAAUGACGUCCUUCUAAAUCAUAUCAAGUAUGGCAAUUCCACAAAGGCAAAAUUCAUGAAUGAAGACGAGAAGAUGGAUUUUUAUUCAUAGGCAUAAUGGUUUACAAGUACAAACGUUAAACACUGCGAGGACGAUUAGGGAUAUUUUCAUCUUGAUGGCCAAUCAUGCCUCGGAAUUCCUCAAAUUGCUUAUGCAUGCGCUCCAUCUCUUCCUCGAACUCGAGGUGUCGAGUGUUAACAUAGUCCCUCCAAAAGUCAACACGUGCAUUGAGCUCUUGGUUUCUCCUCUCCAAUUCGUUCCUGUAACGUCUCUCAUCAUGGAGCCUUUUCCUUAAAUUCUCAAUCUGGUUAUGGAGCUCAGGAAUUUGAGUAUUCAACUCAAGUCUUUUGGCAUGAAGACGCUCCGCAACAUUCACCAAAGACGAAGUAGCUCUGAUACUAAGAGCAAGUGACUGAUUCACUGAUUCAAUGGCAUGAAGGGUCAUGUCUCUAGCCACAGCUACAUCGGUAUCUUCAUCAUCCAUUACAGUAUCGUCUAUUGUAACUGGACGACCAUUUACUUCAAAGGUAGUACGCCAAACUACAGGCUCUGCCUCAGGAACAAGGUUUGGAUUAGCAUUGGAAGAAGAGGAAGACAUGGUUAAAACUUCAAAAGUUAAGAACUUUGAGAGUAUUGAAAAUGCGAGAAGUUGAUGAUGUCUUUUGCCCAAUACUGCGUGAUUUAUAGGGAAUUUGCUCCUGCCAUCAUUUUGAACAGAAGAUCAGAUCUUAGCCGUAGAUACAAAACUUCCUUGGGAAGUUUUCCUCAUCUUUUGGGAUCCAUUUCCAAAUCAAAUCCCAACCGUACAUAUAAGACUUUCUUGAGAAGUUUUCCUGAUCCAUUUACAGAUCAAAUCUCAAUCGUACAUACAAGACUUUCUUGAGAAGCUUUCAUCAUCUCUGAGAUCGAUUUACAAAUCAGAUCUCAACCAUACAAGUAUGACUUCCUUUAAAAGUUUUCAUCAAUCUUCAAGCUCAUUGCUGAAAUCACUUUCAUGUAUUUCACAAAACCUAUAUUGAAAUCACUUUCAAGCAUUUCACCAUCGGGCAGGUCGCUUGGAACAAUUUGACCACUUGCGAGUUUCCUCGCAUUUUUUUUAUUUAUCGGGCAGGUCGCUGGAACAAUUUGACCACUUGCGAGUUUGCUCGCAUUUUAGCAUCGGGCAGGUCGCCUAGAACAAUUUGACCACUUGCGAGUUCCCCUCGUAUUUUAGCAUCGGGCAGGUCGCCUCUAACAAUUUGACCACUUGCGAGUUCCCUCGUAUUUUAUCAUCGGGCAGGUCGCCUGGAACAAUUUGACCACUUGCGAGUUCCCCUCGCAUUUUAGCAUCGGGCAGGUCGCCUGGAACAAUUUGACCACUUGCGAGUUCCCUCGCAUUUUAUCAUCGGGUAGGUCGCCUGGAACAAUUAGACCACUUGCGAGUUGCCUCGCAUUUUUUUAUUUAUCGGGCAGGUCGCCUGGAACAAUUAGACCACUUGCGAGUUUCCUCGCAUUUUUUUUCAUUUAUCGGGCAGGUCGCCUGGAAUAAUUAGACCACUUGCGAUUUUCAUCGCAUUUUAUCAUCGGGCAGGUCGCUUGGAACAAUUAGACCACUUGCGAGCUUCCUCGCAUUUUUUUUCAUUUAUCGGGCAGGUCGCCUGGAACAAUUAGACCACUUGCGAUUUUCAUCGCAUUUUAUCAUCGGGCAGGUCGCCUGGAACAAUUAGACCACUUGCGAGUUUCCUCGCAUUUUAUCAUCGGGCAGGUCGCCUGGAACAAUUAGACCACUCACAAAAUUCUUUACUUCACAUUCUUUCUAUAUGGGUAGGUCGCCCAUCACAACGAGACCACUUCAUCAUAUUUUUUCCAUCUGGGUAGGUCACCCAUUACAAUGAGACCACACUUCACAUUUUUUUCCAUUUUGGGUAGGUCGCCCAUCACAAUGAGACCGCUUUUUCACAUUUUUUUUUCUAUUUGGGUAGGUCAGCCAUCACAACGAGACCGCUUUUUCAUAUUCUUUCCACUUGGGUAGGUCACCCAUCACAAUGAGACCACCAUUUUUUCUGGGUAGGUCACCCAUUAGAAUGAGACCAUUCUCCAUCUUCUUCUUUUUUCCACCUGGGUUGGUUACCCAUUACAAUGAGACCACUCUUUCCUUUUUUGGGUAGGUCACCCAUUACAAUGAGACCGCACUUCAUAUUCUUUCUAUUUGGGUAGGUCACCCAUCAUAAUGAGACCAUUUUUUUCACAUUCUUUCCACCUGGGUUGGUUACCCAUUACAAUGAGACCACGUUUUACACAUUCUUUUGUUUUGAUUGAAUGAAGUUGCCUGAUGGGAUCUCAUGUAGCUUUGGGUUAAAGGGAAUCUCCAUAUGGGAUUUCAAGUUGACCGAGCUACACACAUUCUUUAGUUUUGGUAAAGGAGGUCGCCAGAUGGGAUCUCAGGUUAACGAAAAAAAGAGAGACAGAAAGACAAGUUUUUUUCUUUACAAAGCUUACUAUGCAAAACAUCGAGGAUUUUUGCUUCGUAAGCAUUGUAAAGAGGUUAACAUCCUUCAGCGGCACCGGUACACCAUACACGCGUCCGCACCGUAGUAAAUCUUAGAGCAUCUCUCUCCUCUCGCCGGCGACUCUCUCUCUCGCCUCCGAUCUCCCAUCUCCGGCCGUAUCAAGCCUCCGAAACACCACAGAAAGGUUCCUCACAUGCUGUAAAGUAGAACCCCGGUGGUUUUCAUCGUUGUCACAGCCUCAUCUGGCCGGAAAAAGGCUGCGAUCGUCGCCGGCCACCGAAGCUUCAAGUCGUCGAUUCUACCUCGUCAGCCAUCAACGACCGUCGAGACCACCACCAACAGAAUCCUCAACCUCAGAUCUACCAGAACCGACCAUCGUUUGGCCAGAAAUCUCGCCUGAAAAGCUCGCCGCCACCAACAGUAGCUGCGCGUGAGCCACACGCGCCGCCAGUGGCAUUUUCGUAAAUUUCCGAUAGAUCCGAGGGUAUUUCAGUAUUUUACCUAUACUGUGUCACUUAGGUGAUUGUUUUUUAGAUUUCUAACAUUUUUUUUUAUUUUGUGUAUAAAUUUUCUUGUAUGUUGUAAAACAAACAAAAAAAUAAAAUAAAAAAGAAAGGAAUAACAACGCGGGUCCAACACCCAUCCUAUCAUGUUAUCGUUCGUGGGUCCAAAGCCCAAAUCUCAAAUAUGAGAUACCCAUUUCUCAACGAUAUAAAAAUAAUUUUAUAAACAAAUACUGUUCGUCGACACGUCUCUUUUUCAUAAAAGGACCGAUGUCAAAAGUUUAAAUACCAAUAUGGAUUAUGUCCAUAGUUUUUUUUGGUAACUUAGACGUAAAUCUCCUUUUUAGGGUUAAACGUCAAUAUUUUAGACAAGUCUCCUAUUUUUAGGGACUGAUGUCAUUUUUUAACGUGUCUCCUAAUUUUAGAGACCGACGUUAACUAUUUUAUAAACAAAACAAAAAUUACAAAUAAGCUCGAAAUAUAAUAGUAUUUGAAUCAGAUAUAAAAACACACAAGUAAGGGUAACCUUUCUUUUGAAAGGAUGUUUUAAGGGUGGUGUCUACCUUCCCUUGAUCAUAACUAACCAAGUACCCGAAUCUUUGGAACCAGUGUCUAAUUUGGGAUUUCUAGUUCCCUCAAAUUACUAGAUGGCGACUCCAAUAUAAUUUUCAUUCCCCCAAUUAAACAAAUCUUUUUUGUUAAAUAAACAAAAAUGAGCGGAGUCGUCGCCCGACGUCGUGUAUCGACAGGCGGGAGCUGUCGGUGGUGGUCACUGUGUUGACAGCGUGGACAACGCUGUUCGGCUGAAGAAGGAGACGGCGAGUCUGAGGCGAUGGGGAACAACUGGUUUCUGUGGGCACCGGGACUGUGGUUUCGAAGGAGGCGCCGUCGAGGGAAGAUCGAUGGAGGGGGAAGCAGCGGGGGAAGAAGAGUUGUGGCUGGUUCUCCGUGGGGAAAACAGUGAUGGCUGCUUCGGUUUGAUUUUGAAAGAGAAGGGGUUGUUGGUUGUUGCCGGCUGAGAGAAGGAAAUGAGGGGGGAGACGUGAGCUACUGGAUAGAUGGAGGGGCUGCUGUGUUUGGGGAGAAGGGAUGGUUGGGGAUCGCAGUAGUGGAGGGAUCGGAGUGGCAGAGGACCGUCGGCUGGCUUUUUGAUGGCUGGGAGUUGGUCUUCUUCUCUUUUUUGAUCGGGGGCUGAGCGGCGGCUGAGAGGCAGAAGCUGGAAAUGGCGGGGAGAGAAUCGUGAGGUGAGGGUUGUGUGUUGAUGGCUGUCCAGAGGGAGAAGGAGCUUUGGCCAGCGGCUGGUCUCCAAAAACAUCCAAGGCCAAAGGUUGGGCGGCUAUGUUUGGAUUUUUAGGGUUUAGAUUUUGUGUGAUGUUUCAAAAUUGCCCCCCUCCAUUUGAAUGUGUUGAGGAAACCAGUAUUUAUAGGUAAAAUAUUGCUAGGUUUUUCAACUUGGUCCCUCAACUUCUUUUUUUUUUUUGUAAAUUUUGGUUUUUCUUAUUUUUUUUGUAUUUUUUUGAAAACAAGCAAUAUCAACGUCGACUCAAUGAGGAAAAUCAAUGAUUUUAAAAAUGACGCGUGAAAAGUCGAACGCGUUUGAAAAUCUUUUUUUAAAAAAUUUAAAUUCUUUUUUUUGAGACGACGCUGAAAAUGCUAAAAUGACGAGAAUAUAUUAAAAAAACAUAUUUUUUGGAUUUUCAUUGUUUUUCUCUAUUUUUGGAUUUUUUUGAAAAUAUACCAAAAACAUGGGUCAAAAAUUGGGUAGCAACAUCAUUAACUGCAUGUCUUUAAAUACAUGAGAAAACUUAACAAACCUCCCUAGUUAUCAACCACUAAUUGUAGUGGACAAUGUGUUGUCACUAGCCACUAACUGUAGUGGACAAUAUACUGCAACUAAUCUUAGCAACAACUUCAGAAAAACAAGGGAUUUACUUUGACAAAAUCAAAACAGAAAUGAAAGAAAAGAAAACAGACAAUACUUGAUUAAAUAACAAUUAAACAACAUGAAACACUAGAGUUACAAAAUGUCAAUUGUCUAACAUCUUCCUCCUUAUUAUAUAAGCAGCACCAGAGAUUGCUACCAGAAAAAUGAUUGCUGUUAUUGUUGGGGCCAGAAUUCUUAAAUAUGGUUUCUUUCUUGAUUUUCUUUGUGGGGGAAGUGAAGGCAACUUUGACACGUCAAGACUUUGAGCUUGUCCGCCUCUGUUGAAGCUCCACCCCAGAAUAUAGUGGCUGCUAGCCACUGCUCCAGUAGAUGAAGAAAAACCAACGUACAUAGAAUCCAACAUAACAGAAGAAAGAUCGAGAGGUGUUGACAAAAGAGGCAAGGUUGGUUUUGCUCUUGUGACAGGAGCAACUGUAACAUUGAGUAGCUUCUCUACUUCAUCAUAAUCUAUCCACACGUGCAUCACAUGACCACUUAUGAGAGACAAGCUCUUAUUCUCCUUUUCCUCAUCUGAAAAGUAGGUCACCGGAGCAGAUUUAUUGGAUAUCAAGCUGUUUACAUCAAUUCCAACGUGGUUGUCAUUGAUGUCUUUAAGAUCCGGGCUUGGAACUGCAUCCAGCUCAACUGCCACUAGAUGGUUUGAAGGUAGGCCAUUGCUUGUAGGAUUGAGGAUUCCAAAGUACUGAGUUGCCAUAGCCCCUGUGAAGUCCACAGAUGGAGAGAUUGUGAAGGCCAUGCCAUGGCCACCAAGUGUAGGCAGCUCCGGGACCAUGGCAAACGCAAACUGGGUAGAGAACGAGAGAGACCGAGAAUUGUUGAAUAAAGAUGUGUUGAACUGAAAAGGGAAUGGGAAGAAAGCACGGCCAAUUUGCUGUUUUGAAGUGUUUGUCAGCUCUAAGAGCCCAUUUGGAUGGAUUUUUGCAAUCCCGCUGAGGAGCAGGUCGGGUCCAGUGAAGCCAUGAUAGAUGAAGUGGUUUUCCUCUUGAGCUAAGGCCAAGAGCUUCAAGGAAACAAACAGGCCGAGUAGAAAGUGCAAUGAUUUGAACGAUGCAAUCAUCAUAAGAACGUGCAGAAGAUUGUUUUUGCUUCUUCAGUUACACAUUGGUAAAAGAACAAACUUUUUUCGCUUCGAGUUUCUCCUUAUUUGUUGUUACAGUUUCAAAUCCUCAGUCUA